rnacentral:lncRNA from 1 species
ACGACCCUAAACUAACCCCCACAUCCCUUAAAUAGGUCUGAACGCCCCCAAACCCUUAGAGACUCUUUCAUUCCCUUAUCUCUCUCACCCUAACUAAACCCUAGCCGCCUAGGAUUCCUCAGCCUUUCUCCACCAUUCUCCGCCGUCCGAAAAUCGCCUCACGACGGCGGACCACUCCCAAACCCAACCAAAUCACUACUUCAUACUCCUCACCUCACCCUCGUCAUCAAUCCACCAUCAAUUUUUCCCAAAACCCCACCGAAUUCCUCUAAAUUCAAAUCUAAAAAACAGAAACCCUAACUUUUUCACCUUUUUUGAUUUUUUUUUGAGUUUUCGAGACUCGAUUUGAUCAAAACCUACGCUAGUUGAUUGUUUUCAGCGAGAACGAUUGAUUAGAGUCAUUUUUGGUCUAUUUCGAAGCUCGCCCGAUUCCAACCCAGUCAACACCGACCGGCCAAACCUCGAUGCUUUCAUCGCUCGUCGAUUCAGCUUCCAGCAAAAAUCAGUAUCUUUCUCUUUUCCCGUUAUCUCCGUUUUUUAUUUUUUUAUGUUAUCACUUAGGUUUUGGUUUUAUCUUUGUUUUUGUUUGUUUUGUUCUUCAUUACUGCGUGUUUAAUUAAAAAUGGGAUUAGUUUUUAAAUUAUUUUUAUGAUUAUCUAGUUAGCCGCAUUGUUAGUUAGUUUAACCAUAUUUUGUUUAGCUUAAUCAACCUUAGUUAGCUCAGUAAUUUACUUAGGUUUAAUUAAUGAAUCAUUUCUGUUUGGUUUGUUUACAAUGUUUCCUGCCUCAAUUAGUUGCUUAGUAAUGUUUUGAACACACAUUUGGAAACUGUAUGGGUGAAAAGGGUAAUAGCAAGAACUUAAAGGGGUCAAUUGGGCAGUUAAGAAAUGAAGAAAUUUCAGAUAAAAUAUCAGAAGCUUUUAGUAUUAGACAACUGUCCAUUUUUAGUGUUAAAAAGAUGCUGAAAAUUGGAUAAAAGGAUAGAUGUACUAAAAUCUGUUAAAAAGAUGCUUUCUUAUCCCUUUUUACAGCUGACAUCUCUGAAAUCCAUGUUGGAAUAUUCUCUAUAAGACCCUCUCUCAUUCAUAUCCUUUUGCAUUCCUACACUCUAUAUAAAGGACCUCACACUCACUCACACAUACACAUUAUCAUCAGCAUACUUACUCUAAAAUGCAUCCCUGAAUACUGAUUUUUAUUCUCUCUCGAGCUUUUUUUUCCAUAUCAGAUAUAGAAACAGGAAAAAAAUUCUCAAGGCUAUCUUUCCUUUUCUCCAUUUUCCUACUGGUUUACUCCAUUUAUGCUAGGAAUUCGAGUUUGAUUGUGGGUUUCUGGUUCUUUCUGGCUGUUGUUGCUGUUUUUAACUACUUGUAGUGUUUUACUUCUUCUCCAAAGCCAGAUAUUUAUUUUCUAUUUUUGUCUAUCUUGCUGUAAUCAGGUACUCACCUUAAAUCUGAGUUUUGUUUUGGCAUGGAUUAGUCAAUUUCUUUAUUAUUCCAUGAAAUCCUAAUUUUCCAUCACCAUUUGCUAAUUUUCUUAUGUUUAGUAUGUUAAUUAGUAGAUCUUGAUUUAGUUAAACUUAUGUGUGGUUUCUAUUUAUUUGGUGUUUUGAAAUGAAGAAAGCCAGAAUUCUUUGCUCUACUAUUUGGUCACUUGAACUGUUAUGGUUAUCUUGGGAGCUGUUGAAAUUAUCUCAUGUUUAGCUCGGUUAUGUUGUAAUUCCGAGUUUAUUUCUGAGUUAAUAUUCCAUGUUGUAAACUAGCUGAUUAUAAAUUGGAUGGUGACCGAGAUUGUUUAACUCUAAAUAUUAGUUUAAAUAGCUAUUAACAAUACCUGGAGCAUGUCGUGUAAGUUGUUAAAUUUUUGUUUUAAAUUUGAAUACAGUUUCAGCCUUGUUUAAACCAUGCAGAUUCAGUAUCAGUUCAAAAAGGCUUUACUGUAGUGUUGGUUUGUUGAAGUAUGUGGAUUUGUGUUGAGUUUGGAAUGUAAAGAGAUGGUUUAUUACUGAAUGCAUGGUUAUGGCUUGCUGAUCUGACCACCAGUUGGGUCAGAUUGGUGAACUCUAAGGCUAAAGGGUGGAUUUGGAGUUAUCUAUAGAGGGAGGUUAAGCAUAAGAUCGAUUAUGUUUUGUUCAGUUUAGUCAUAAUUAUAAACAAUCCAUGUAUAUAUGUUUAAGGAUUUAUGUCUAUUACCAUUAUUGAUAAUGAUAUUAUAAUUCGCCAGAUUUGUAAAUGUUAGAAUGUAAUCAGUUUGUUUUGCUUUAGAUCGAUUUAAAUAGUUCAGUUGUCCAUCUAUACCAUUCUUAGCAUUUAUUCUGGAAGUUUGAAUAAGUUACUAUCGAUUUGUUUUUCUUAGUUCUUUCACUUUUUUUUCAUUCUUGGUUAAAAGGAGUAAGCCAUCAUUUAGUUGUUUUUCCCCAAACUGAUAAUCUGUCUUAUUCCAUGUGAGAUGGUUCUAUAGUUGCACUCCUCUUUAGUUGAUUUUGGCCAAUUUGUUUCAUAAAACGGAAAGCAGUGGUGAGAUAAGAAGGCUUUAAUUCGCUUGAACAAGACUAAACUGUGUAAAGUAAGGCUUAAGUUCCUUUUAAGAAUAAUGGACCUGGUCCGAAAUGCUUGCUGGGCCCAACAUCCUGCAAUGUAAAUAGGUUAACUCUUCUUAAGGACCAAACUCUCUUAUCUACGGGCCUGUUUGGCAGCCAAUACGUAAGUUGCCCCCCACCUAAUUCAAAUAAGUAUCUCAUAUAGUAUGGAACCUUUACACCUCGUAGAAUACGUAGAGACAUAAUCACAAUUUUAGGUUCACUUUAAAAUUAGAUUAACUAUUUCAAUUAUGUAUGACAUAGUUGUGAUGCCAAGGUAUGCGUUCGCUAACCAUGGUUAAAUAUUUUUUUUUUAUUAAAAUGCCUUAAUCAAAUAUUCGUAGAAAUGCUUUAGGGCAAGUUUUGAAUUGUUAUUAUGAUUACGUUUCUCUCAAAUAAAUUCAAAGUAUGUGUUCGCGCAACUUUGACUAAACCUUUUUCUUAAAUAAACUAAGUGUUAGGAAUUGAGUAUAUGUACGCGUAAUUCAUCUUAGGUUAAUUUCUUAAAUAUGGAUUAUCAAGUGAUUAAUAACGGUAAAAGGUAAAAAUAAACAUAGGUCCUAAAAUAAGUAAUUAGAUAGGAUAGGCCAAGUACAAAUUUCUAAGCGACCGUGCUAGAACCACGGAACCUGGGAAUGCCUAACACCUUCUCCCGGGUUAACAUAAUUCCUUAUCUAGUUUUUUUUGGUUUCGCAGACUUUAAACAAAGUCAAAUUUUCCUUGAUUUGGGAUUUUAAAAAAAAAUCGAUGUAUACCAUAAAUUAUUCCAAGUGGCGACUCUGAAAUUAAAUAAACAAUCUCAUAUCGAAUAAUGUCACUUAAAUUAGAAAAACUCCCUUAUAAUCCUUUCGGAUAAAAAGGAGGGGUGAUAGACUGCACCCGCUUAAUCCUGGAUCCGCCAUUGUAUGUUAUUGUUGUUGUUGAUAAAGGCUUGACAAAAUGAACAUUUAUACUUCGAAUUAAGUUAAUUUCGUAAGUCCCUAUUCUAAUGCAUGCAUGAGUUAUUUGAAUCUUUCUUAAUAACCCAAAUGUUGAAUUAACAAAUGCCAACGGGAUGAAUAAGGUAAUGCAUUAAUUCAAAUGCAUGUUGUUACGAGUGUUUUCUUUCUCAUAUACUGAAUUCAUUCACUAAAUAAUUCUUUCACAAUUGUGUGAAGCGCGAUGAUAUUCACUAGUUAGCUCAUAUUUGUAUGUACUAAAUAUUCUUUUUUUUUUAAAUUCAGUAAACCUCUAGUCAAAAUUUUAAGUAAAUACCAAGAUAAAAAGGGAAAAGGCUGGAAAUGACAUACUAUAGUAGAGAAAGAGGGUAACGAUCGUAAAGAUAUGAUCAGAUGUGGAACUAAAAUUUAAAUUGUAUGGGUUCUAAAUUUUAAGAAAGGAAGCGAUCAUGACCUAAAGCUAAUAUACAAUAACAAGCAACUAAAGAAUGUUGAUUAAAAAGGAAAAAGUUUAUGUUUUGCUUGUUAAAAAGGAAAAAUGGGAGUAAUUCGGUAGGAUUCUUCAUUUGGAGCUGUUGUUUAGCUUUUUCUCUAGGUCAAAUACAUACACAGACACCUAAACUUGUCCAGAUAUUCCAUUUAAACACCUAAACUAAGCAGAUGACCUAUUGAACACCUAACCAAUAUUCAAACUAUGUUUGUUGGACACUUUUUGCUGACAUGGCAGGUAAUGUGUUGUUCACAUGAACUUGAGCGUGUAUGAGACAGGAAAAUGGAGUUUCGCUCGGAAAUCAAUUUCCGGCCACUUUUGUCUUCUUUUUCCGGCAACCAAUAGUCUUCUUUUAUUCCUUUUUCUUUUCGUAUUUCUCUUUCCUCAACCUAUAAAGAUUCAUUUUCUCCCCAAAAAUCAGAUCUUAAAGCCUCGCCUCUGUCGGAAAUAUCAUCACCGGCGAUCUCCAUUUUUGCCGGCCAUCACUAAUGCCUCCCCUUCCUCUUAUCUUGUUCCUUUUUCCUUUUACCCCCCGAAAGUCCCUCCCUAAAAGCCUGAAACUAACAUAUCAAUUGUAUGUUGUUGUUCGCCAAACCCAAGAUUUGCGACUGAACGGACUUCGUCGGAAAGGUGAAACUUUGCUGGAAACUUAUUCAAUCAACUCUUUUUUCUUUUAGUUUUGCUUCUUCAGAUUUUGACUUUUUUUUGCUGACAUGCCUUAUCAUUGGUGUAGUUUUCCACGUCAGAACGAGUGGCAUUCACGCUCCUUCAGUUUCUUAGGAUUCUGUAAUAUGUGUUCAAUAGACACAGUUUACUCAUAGGUCAGGGUUCUAAUAGGUGGUAGGCUUAAUUUAGGUGUCUAAAUAGAAUAUCAGAACAAGCUUAAGUGGUUGUGUAUGUAUUUGGCCUUUUCUUAAUAAUGAAACAACAACAACAACAAUAACGACACAGUAUAAUCUUACAAGUGGGGUUUGGGGAGGAUAAUAUGUACGCAGACCUUACCCCUACCCCGAAGGUUAGAGAGGCUGUUUCCAGGAGACCCUCGGCUCAAAAAAAGCAACAGGAGCCGAUAUAUUAGUACCAUAAAAAUGCAUAAUAAAAUAACAGCAAUAUAAGAGAUAUGAAAUACAGAAUACGAAACACGAAAUACGAAAUAAAUGGCUGGUAUAGUAAAACUAGCAGGUAAAGCCCUGCAUCAAUAGACGACCAAUGACAUUCUUAGUCUAACUCCUAACUGGCUAGUCUCACUCUAUUGUGCUGUAGAAAUAUUCACAAGUUUUCCCUAACCUACAACUUUAAUGCUCGACCUCCAUAAUUCCCUGUCAAGGGCCAUGUCCUCAGUAAUCCUAAGUCGCGCCAUGUCCUGUCUGAUCACCUCUCCCCAAUACUUCUUAGGUCGUCCUCUACCUCUCCGCGUGCCCACUACAGCUAGUCGCUCACACCUCCUCACCGGUGCAUCAGUACUCCUCCUCUGAAUGUGCCCGAACCAUCUAAGUCUUACUUCCCGCAUCUUGNNNNNNNNNNNNNNNNNNNNNNNNNNNNNNNNNNNNNNNNNNNNNNNNNNNNNNNNNNNNNNNNNNNNNNNNNNNNNNNNNNNNNNNNNNNNNNNNNNNNNNNNNNNNNNNNNNNNNNNNNNNNNNNNNNNNNNNNNNNNNNNNNNAUUCCCCAAGUAUAAUAUCCUGAUCCCCUUCUUCACUUAGAAGUUUAUGAAAGUAGGUCUGCCACCUCCUCUUAAUCUGGUCAUCUCCCAUCAAAACUUUGUCGUAAAAAUGUCAUAAAAAGCACAAAUUAACGCGUUGGUUUCAAGGAAUCGAACGUGCGUCUCUUCCAUGUGAUCCCAAAGCCCUUACUAUGGUACCCAAAAAAUAUAACUUUGAUUGUCAUACUUUUAGACAAGAAAUAGUCUUAAUUUAUUGAUUUUAUUGAGUCUUAAGCAAAUAUUUACAAAAGAAAAAUGUCUUAGUUGAGGUUUGAACCUUUUAACCUCUUAUAGAAAAAUCAAACACAUUACCAACAUACAAUUUAUGUCAAGUGGUGUCAUUUUUUUCUACUUAAUAAUUUUCAUACAAUAUUAAUACAUAUAUUUAAUAAACAUUUUCGACGAAGCGGUGUCGCGUGACACCGCUUCGAUAAGCGUAAAUCUGCCCUGAUUACUGGGUUCGGCAUGAUAUAUUUGUAUAGAAACAACGAAUUUUUCAAUAUAAAGACAUGAUUGGGGAAAUGUCACUGGAUUCGUCCGAACCCGCACCCACUACUGUAGCUCCGCCCCGGUACGAUGAAUUAUACAAGUAAUAAAAUGCUAGCAUAACUCCAAUCAAAUCCAUUAUUCUUCUGAAUGAAAAGUCAUUAAUUCACUUGACUUUUUUCCAUUAUUCAUACAAAAUAUUAAAGACGUGAAUUUGUACUUUGUAGUAGCUAGAGUUUUUUGCAUUGAGGGCAUGCGCUAAUUACCAUUUGCAGGUAUUCUACAACUAAUUAGGAGCACCUAUAUGUCGCAAGUUAACACACAUUUACAACAAAUCCAGCAAUCACUGCAGUCCUCGUUGGUUUGACAAAGUCUCCCACAAGUUAGGCCCAAAUUAUUAACUUCUGGGAGUAGAUGCCUUUCAAGACUUGAGAGAUCAACAUUAACAUCCCUUGCCGCCAACACUUCUGAUUUUGAGAGCCACGGCAUAUUAACUGAAAUAUUUCACUCUCAAAAUCAAUCAUAUUAUACGAAUAAAAGAAUCAUGUUCAUAUAACAUGCAUAAAAACAAUUGUAUACGUAUUUGUUACAUAGGGAUCGGAGUAUGUUUUCUCCCAUAUAUGUAUCUAUAUACAUAGGGACAAGCACAAUAUUUGAUGAUGUCAAGUUAUAAUGUAGACAUAAAAGAGUACAAUACUAACCCGUGGUUGCCAUGAAAAAGAUAGCUAGAAUGAAACUAAGCUUGAGAAUCGCCAUUACGGAAAAUAAUACUUCUAGGUCAUCUUAUUAUUUUUCAAAAUUUUUUAUUUAUAGACCGAGCAUGAGAUGAAUUAACUGGUUUCUAGAAAUCUUUAUUUUUUUAUUGUUUGUUUUUAGGUAUUUAUUUACUUGUUUUACACUCAACAUCAGAUCGGAUUGGUCUUUGCAUCCUAAAUAAUUAUGCUAUCUAUAACGUAAAAUCAACUUCUCUCUUACCUCGAUCUUGAAAAAGGAAAAUGCAUUCUAAUAGUUAGUAAAUUGUGUUACCUUGUUACGUUGUUCCAAAUAAAAAUAAUAUGUUGACCUGAUAAGUAUUUUUCGAAAUAUGCGUGUGAGAAGUGAAGGUGAAUCUGCAUUAUAGUAUUUUGCCAUUUGAAUAUGACAUAAAAUAGAAUAUGCUACUAAUCUACUCGGAGUUCACUUCAUUAAAAAAUUGUCCUCAUAUUUUUUCGUACGCAUCUCUUGUUUUGGUUUUAAUUGGGUAUUAAGAUUUUAAAACCAAAAGUUGUGAUUGAAAUUUAAUAAUGCUUCUCAUUAUUGGCAAUUGCACUUUGCAUUAAUAGCCUGUUUGGCCAAGUUUUUUUCGGGGCCAAAAGUGUUUUUUUAAGCCAAAAGCAUUUUUGGCAAAAAUUAAGGUGUUCGGCCAAGCUUUUGGAAGAAAAAAAAAGUGGUUUUAAGAAGAAGCAGAAGCAGUUUUUGAGAAGCAGAAAAAAUUAGCUUCUCUCCAAAAAUACUUUUCUGAGAAUCACUUUUGAGAAAAAUAUACAUUUAGAAGCAGUUUUCAAAAGCUUGGUCAAACACUAAUUACUCCUCAAAAGUGCUUAUGAAAUUCAUUAGCCAAACACAAACUGUUUCUCACCAAAAAUUUUAAAAGUACUUUUGAGAAAAGCAUUUCUCAAAAUAAGCAAAUUUUUGAAGUUUGGCCAAACAGGCUAUUAGUUAAUAAACUCAAUGCUUCUUAAUUAAUUAUUCUGCUAAAAGCUUGACUAGUAUAAGUCUAAUUAUAGGUUCAUGAAAAUAUUUUUGAACGAUGCAUGUGAGAAUCAAUAUUCUUCCUUAUCGUUUAUUGUGCCUAGCACAUUUGUCCAUGUUAACAAUUUUUUGGGUCAAACUAAGGGUGUUUAAUGGGCCGGGUUUAAUCGUAACCGGACCAGCUCAGACGGGUUAAAACCAAAAUCGACCCAGACCGGUAAGAGGGGGCCGGGUGGCACUGGGUUAAAGGGGUAGGGUGGGUUGAUCCGUUUACUUAACUUCUACCGGUUAACCGGACCGGUCAAACCCGGUCAACGUUUUUGUGUGCAUGUCAUGUUUAUAAUUUAAUUGUUAAAAGUGACCUUGAUUUAUUUUCAACUGAGAUUACUCAUGUUAGAAGUGCAGUUGGUGUUAUUCAAGGAAAUAAUAGACAAUCUAGAAUUAGGGAAUUUAAGAAUAAGUAUACCGAGUAUAACCUUAAACCCAGAUUCAUGCCAGACGAAAUUGUUACUAGAUGAAAUUAUACAUAUAUAUUUUUAAAAUGUUGCUACAAAUAUAGAUUCCCAAUAACUGAAGUUGCUAAUGCGUAUUGUACUGAUCCAAACCGUAUGUUAAUAACUAUUACUUGGGAGGUCAUUAAUGAUGUUGUUAAAUUUUUACAUAAAUUUUAUACAGCUACUGUUGAGUUUUCUGGAGCAUAUUAACCUACGGUUACUAUGGCUUUAGUACAUAUAACUGAAAUUUCUUUUNNNNNNNNNNNNNNNNNNNNNNNNNNNNNNNNNNNNNNNNNNNNNNNNNNNNNNNNNNNNNNNNNNNNNNNNNNNNNNNNNNNNNNNNNNNNNNNNNNNNNNNNNNNNNNNNNNNNNNNNNNNNNNNNNNNNNNNNNNNNNNNNNNNNNNNNNNNNNNNNNNNNNNNNNNNNNNNNNNNNNNNNNNNNNNNNNNNNNNNNNNNNNNNNNNNNNNNNNNNNNNNNNNNNNNNNNNNNNNNNNNNNNNNNNNNNNNNNNNNNNNNNNNNNNNNNNNNNNNNNNNNNNNNNNNNNNNNNNNNNNNNNNNNNNNNNNNNNNNNNNNNNNNNNNNNNNNNNNNNNNNNNNNNNNNNNNNNNNNNNNNNNNNNNNNNNNNNNNNNNNNNNNNNNNNNNNNNNNNNNNNNNNNNNNNNNNNNNNNNNNNNNNNNNNNNNNNNNNNNNNNNNNNNNNNNNNNNNNNNNAUAUUGAUUAUAACGAACUUACUAAGGCAAUGCAAAACCUUUGAAUUUACUCUUUUUUGGUUAAUUUACUUGUUGUUAAGUGUAAACCUUUCAAUUUGUUUGAAUUUUGAAUAAAUGUAGCACUUGCAAUUUAUAAGUACAAUUUUUCCCAUCUUCAUUGUAUUCUUUAUAUUUUUACUUUAUAUUAAUAUAACUUACAAUAGUUAUACAAAAUACAAAAAAAAAAAAUUAAAAAUUACACUAACCCGGCCCGGCCCAGCCCCUUGUACCCGUAACCCUUACGAUUCAUUUUUUACCUGGAUGAACCCGAACCCUUAAACCCGUGUAAGCCCUAAUCCGUAACCGGCCUGGAUCCCAACCCGUACGGUUACUAAUUUUUCCUACCCUGCCCGGCCCGGCCCACUCGUUAGAACCCUUAGGUCAAACUCAAGGUGGGAAUUUUUUAUUGCCACUGAGUAUUAAAUGCUUCAUCCAUUCACUUUACUUGUCUAUUAUACUAAAAAUAUAUUUUUACUUUUACUUGUUCAUUUUUGUAAAUCAAGAGAAAUACAAUUUUUUUCUUGUUUUAUCCUUAUCAUUAAUUACUCAUUUCCAAAAUUACUUCCCAAGAUUUUUUGAAAUGCUAUCAUUAGUAGGGGUUAUAUGGUAAAAUUAUUAUUUUUUAAGGGCAUCAAAAGUCCAUAACUAAAAGUGAACGGAGGGAGUCAUUAACUUUGAAGUUGGUUAUUGACGUUAAAUACUGUGGUAAACUUGUGUGUUUAAGCCAAACAUGAAAUUGACACUUAGUUUUGGGCGCAUUCGACGUGGAAAUAUAAUAAAAAAGUUUCAGUUUAUCCUCAUGUAUUAUAUGAGUUAUAAACUUAUAAACACGACACUCUCACAAGCUGUGCUAAGCAUGGCUUGCCUUGUAAGAAACACUUCUCAUUGCAGAAGUCCUUCUUUAUUACUCAAUCCGCCCCCUUUUAAUUACUAGUUAUCAUGGUUACUAAAUACUUGCCCCAAAAAAAUAUUUCUUUUUAGAAUUUCAAGAUAUAAUUAUUUCUUAUCCUCAUUUUGUCCUUAAUAUUAGUUGUUCUUGAAAGUGUUGAGUAUAGUUGUCCUUAAUAUUAGUUGUUCUUGAAAAUAGAAUCAACUUCAUUUCCCACCUGGGCAGAGAAUAAAUUAUACAAUCCAAGAUAAUUUUUGCCUCAAAUGUACCAACCACAGCCCAAACAUCCCUAGCAACCACCCUAAACAUUAAGAUUAAAAAUAAUAUGGGAAAAUACCUAGGCUUUCCAAUUACCAAUUUACAAUAAAAAAGCUCGAACUAUCAAUUCAUACUUGACAGGAUGAAUACUAGACUAAAAGGAUGGAAAGCCAAAUUUUUAACCUUAUAUGGGAGAUUAACCCUUAUACAAUCAACUCUUUCAGCCAUACCCACCCACUCCAUGCAAAUGAAUCUUUUUCCAGCAAAGACUAGAAACAAUAUUGACCGCAUCCAGAAAAACUUCCUAUAGGGUUCUACCAGGGACCACAGGAAAAUCCAUCAUAUCAACUGGGAUAAGGAAGUAAUGUGAUGUUUAGCUUAAAGCAUAUAUAUUUCUAUGCAUAUCACCUCAUAUUUUACUUUUGUUUCGUGAAGUUGGGAUGUUAAAUGCCAUUAUUUAUGUUAAUUUGAAGUGUUUUUAUGUGUAGGAAUGAUUCGGGAGCAAGAGGGCGCGAAACACGCAAGAUUUGAGCCAAAACGAACAAAAUCGGACGAAUUGAGCAAUUAGGCGCCACAGGAAGCGCUUGGUGCCACCUAUGGCGCUGGAAACAGAAGCUGAAAAUUGGGCAGCGCCCUGUGGGCGCCUGGUGCGGGGCUGGGCACCGUUGACGUGAUUUUUGUCCUAUUUUGCUCGGGACACGAUUUAUUCGGCCCUAGACCUAUCCAACACGUAUAAAAGAAAGACUAAGCCUAUUUUUGAAAGGGGAGGACGCCACUUUGAGGAUAUAGAACAUACUUUGAAGGAGAAUUCACGUAGGGGAACACACCACGCUUGGAGGAGGCUUCUAACUAGUUUUUCUUCUCUUCUCUUCCUUUAAUUUUAUAGUUUAUUAGUUCUAGAGUUUUGGGUGCUACAUGAACGUUGUAGUUUGAAGCUUAGAUUGUUCUUAUUAUUUUAUCAUAUUGGUUUAUUUAUUCAAUCUUGCGCUUAAUUAUUUGAUUGCUUGAUCACUGUGAUGACCCGACCGGUCGUUUUGAAUAAGUACAACCUCGUCUCCCCAUAUAUUGCUAAAUUCAUGCUUCACGGUUCUUAUGUAACUUGCCUGGGAAAUUGGUUCGGGUUCGGAAAGAUUUUUGAAAGGAAUUGAGAUACUUAGUCUCCAAGAAGAGAGCUUAAGUUGAAUUAAAUUGACCGGAAGGUGAAAUAUGAGUAAACGAAUCCGGAAUGGAUUUUUGAUGAUUCCAAUAGCUCUGUAUGGUGAUUUUGGAUUUAGGAGCAUGCCGGAAAAUUAUUUGAAAGUUUGUAAUUUAAUUAGGCUUGAAAUGGCGAAAACGAGAAGUUGUAGUUUGGAAGUUUGACCGAGGGGUUGACUUUUUGAUAUCGAGAUCAAAAUCCGACUCAAGAAGUUGGAAUAACUUCAUUAUGUCAUUUAUGAUUUGUGUGAAAAAUUUGGGGUCAAUCGGACUUGAUUUGAUAGAUUUCGGCAUUGUAUGUGGAAUUUGAAAGUUCCUAAGUCUUUAGGCUUGACUCCGAGGUGGAUUUGGUAUUUUGGUUUUGUUUGGAGUAAUUCGAAGGCUCGAAUAAAUUUUGAUGAUGUUAUGGGAUGUGUUGGUACAUUUGGUUGAGGUCCCGGAGGCCUCGUGUGUGUUUCGUGGUGAAUUUCGAGCGAGUCCGGGCAUUUCGGAACUCUGACAUGGGUCUGGCACUUUUGGGAGUGCGGGCCGCACUAAAAAUAUGCAUACCGCAGAAAGGAGUGCGGACCGCACUAAAUGGUGUUGGACCGCACAAAAUGGUGUGCGGAUCGCACAAAAUGGCGUGCGGCCGCACAUCAAAAGUGCUCUGCAUGAUUGCUGGUCCGACUUCGGAAGCUCAUAUAUUUUGAUAUACAAGGAAUUUGAGGAUUAGUCAAACACAAAAGUUGUAGAUCUUUGAAUCUAGUUUUCAGAAACAUAUUAUGAUAGGAAUGUGGACAUCUGUAGCAAAAGUUAUGACCAAAAUACUAAAACCUGACACUGCAGUCAAAAUCCACCGCGGGGGCAAUGGAUUUUGUGCGGACAACACUGGCUCUAGUGCGGACCGCACUCGAUUUGGUGCGGUCAGCAGUGACGGAAUCCGGGAGGUGCACUAUAAAUACGAUGUUUAGGGUUUUAUUUUAUAUUUUGACCUAGAGAGCUCGGAUUUUGGCGAUUUUUCGAAGGUUUUUCAAGAAAUUUAUCGGGGUAAAUGAUUCUAACUCGGAUUUGGCUAGAAUAAAUGAAUCUAUCAUUGAAUUCAUCAUUUGAUUCAUGAUUUGGGAUGAAAUUCUGGAAAAAUUGUGAAAUCUUUCAAAAAUGUAAAAUGAUGAUUUGAAGGACCAAAUGGUAUCGGAAUUGGAUAAUUUUUGUAUGGGUGAACUCGUAUCGGAAUGGGUAUUCUGUUUUUGUAAAUUUUAUUGGGUUCUGAGGUGCGGGCCCGAGGAGUUGACUUUUGUUGACUUUUCGCAAAUUGUAUAAGAAUCAUAGCUUUGUUAAUUGGAAUUAUUUUCUCUUACAUUAUUAGAUGUAUUCAAGUCGUUUUUGGCUAGAUUGAGCCGAGCAUUGAUGAACUGGAAAAAGGAAAAGCUAAAUUGACUAUUGAAUUGGCUGGAUUGAGGUAAGUAUCUUGCCUAAGUUUGUGUAAGGGACUACCCCUUAGGAUUUGAGUCCUCUAUGUUAAUUGUAGUCCGUGUAUGCGAGGCGACGAGCGUGUGCUCGGUCUUAUCUGUGGGAGAAUUGCCCUUUAAGAUUCUUAGGUCCUUAUGUGGAAAGUAUCCUGUUAUGAUUGGGUUUCCUAGUUUCUUAAAUUGCCUCUAUAUGCUCCAUAUGACGUUGUUAGCUUUCCUCUAAUUCUUACGUGUUAUAUUGACCCUAAAUUGCCUUAAUUGAAGUGAUUGCCUUUCUUAUUAUUUUGAUACUUCUUGGUUGUGAGUUCCUCUAUGGCUUCAUGCAAAUAGGUUACAUGUCCAAUUGUUGUGGUUGCCGGUGUAGUUAUCACGUGCUUAUUAUGUCUUGUUGUGUAGUUGAGGUUUCAUUGUGAAGUUAAUUGUUGGUACAAGUUUGGUUAUAGCUGAUUCCCUUGCCGGGACAUAUUUAAUUCUUACUGUUGGUUCCCUUGCCGGGACGUGUUUAUUCUUGUUGUUGACUCCUUUGCCGGGAUAUUGUUGUUUCCUUAUUAUUCCCUUGUCGGGAUUCUUUUAUAAUUGAUGAUGAUUUAUAAAUGGGAGCGGGUUGCACGCCUGCAACAAGAUAUAUGAAAUGGGACGGGCUACACGCCUGCAACAAGAUAUAUGAAAUGGGAUCGGGCUACACGCCUGCAACGAUAUAUAUGAAAAGGGAGCGGGUUGCAUGCCUGCAAUGAGAUAUAUGAAAUAGGAUCGGAUUGCACGCCUGGAAUGAGAUAUAUGAAAUGGGAGCGGGUUGCACGCUUGCAACAAGAUAUAUGAAAUGGGAGCGGGUUGCACGCCUGCAACGAGAUAUAUGAAAUGGGAUCGAGUUGCACGCCUGCAACGAGAUAUAUGAAAUGGGAUCGAGUUGCACGCCUACAACGAGAUAUAUGAAAUGGGAUCGGGUUGCACGCCUGCAACAAGAUAUAUGAAAUGGAAGCGGGUUGCACGCCUGCAACGAGACAUGUGAAAUGGGAUCGAGUUGCACGCCUACAACAAGAUAUGAAAUGAAAGUGAAAUUCUGUGUUUGGUUCCCUUAUCCUUGUUAGUAAUUGGAUUUUGGUGUCGUGCACCUUCGGUUUGCUAUGUUUAGUUGUUGUUAUCAAUUCAAAUGUUUAAACUGUUUAAUUCCUUUAUUGUUGUGACCCUUUGUGUUAGAACCCACAAUAUUUCAAUACCUCAUCGUAUUUAUAUAUAUUUAUUUAUACGUUCCAAUACUUCAAACUUCAAUAAUUGUUACAUCCUUAAUUCAAUUAGUUACUCAGUUAAAUUUCCUUAAACCGUCUGAGGUUGUAUUUUUCUUAAAAAGGAAUUUCUACUAAGUUUUAAGUUACUAACUCCCCUAUUAAAGGUAAUAUCUUCCGCGGUUGUAUUUUAAAUUGAAAGGGGCACUUUCUUACUCGAAUGAUUUCUAAAAACAACUUCAUCUUUUCUCGCCGAUUUUUUCAAAUUUAUUUAGAAAUUGUAAUUUAAUUUCUAUUAUGUAAAUAGGACUUCUCGAACAUUUUAAGUGCAUUUGUAAGGACAUUUUGUAUUUUAUAUCAUGUGUAUUUUUGUUGUCAAGAGUGAGAUGGAAAAUAUAUGGGCACAAGGUGCCAUAUGUGCUGAAAGUUUGAAAGUUGAAAUUAUGAUAUGAGAAAUCGAGGAUUGAAAUGAUCGGGAUGGUNNNNNNNNNNNNNNNNNNNNNNNNNNNNNNNNNNNNNNNNNNNNNNNNNNNNNNNNNNNNNNNNNNNNNNNNNNNNNNNNNNNNNNNNNNNNNNNNNNNNNNNNNNNNNNNNNNNNNNNNNNNNNNNNNNNNNNNNNNNNNNNNNNNNNNNNNNNNNNNNNNNNNNNNNNNNNNNNNNNNNNNNNNNNNNNNNNNNNNNNNNNNNNNNNNNNNNNNNNNNNNNNNNNNNNNNNNNNNNNNNNNNNNNNNNNNNNNNNNNNNNNNNNNNNNNNNNNNNNNNNNNNNNNNNNNNNNNNNNNNNNNNNNNNNNNNNNNNNNNNNNNNNNNNNNNNNNNNNNNNNNNNNNNNNNNNNNNNNNNNNNNNNNNNNNNNNNNNNNNNNNNNNNNNNNNNNNNNNNNNNNNNNNNNNNNNNNNNNNNNNNNNNNNNNNNNNNNNNNNNNNNNNNNNNNNNNNNNNNNNNNNNNNNNNNNNNNNNNNNNNNNNNNNNNNNNNNNNNNNNNNNNNNNNNNNNNNNNNNNNNNNNNNNNNNNNNNNNNNNNNNNNNNNNNNNNNNNNNNNNNNNNNNNNNNNNNNNNNNNNNNNNNNNNNNNNNNNNNNNNNNNNNNNNNNNNNNNNNNNNNNNNNNNNNNNNNNNNNNNNNNNNNNNNNNNNNNNNNNNNNNNNNNNNNNNNNNNNNNNNNNNNNNNNNNNNNNNNNNNNNNNNNNNNNNNNNNNNNNNNNNNNNNNNNNNNNNNNNNNNNNNNNNNNNNNNNNNNNNNNNNNNNNNNNNNNNNNNNNNNNNNNNNNNNNNNNNNNNNNNNNNNNNNNNNNNNNNNNNNNNNNNNNNNNNNNNNNNNNNNNNNNNNNNNNNNNNNNNNNNNNNNNNNNNNNNNNNNNNNNNNNNNNNNNNNNNNNNNNNNNNNNNNNNNNNNNNNNNNNNNNNNNNNNNNNNNNNNNNNNNNNNNNNNNNNNNNNNNNNNNNNNNNNNNNNNNNNNNNNNNNNNNNNNNNNNNNNNNNNNNNNNNNNNNNNNNNNNNNNNNNNNNNNNNNNNNNNNNNNNNNNNNNNNNNNNNNNNNNNNNNNNNNNNNNNNNNNNNNNNNNNNNNNNNNNNNNNNNNNNNNNNNNNNNNNNNNNNNNNNNNNNNNNNNNNNNNNNNNNNNNNNNNNNNNNNNNNNNNNNNNNNNNNNNNNNNNNNNNNNNNNNNNNNNNNNNNNNNNNNNNNNNNNNNNNNNNNNNNNNNNNNNNNNNNNNNNNNNNNNNNNNNNNNNNNNNNNNNNNNNNNNNNNNNNNNNNNNNNNNNNNNNNNNNNNNNNNNNNNNNNNNNNNNNNNNNNNNNNNNNNNNNNNNNNNNNNNNNNNNNNNNNNNNNNNNNNNNNNNNNNNNNNNNNNNNNNNNNNNNNNNNNNNNNNNNNNNNNCUGAAAGUUUGAAAGUUGAAAUUAUGAUAUGAGAAAUCGAGGAUUGAAAUGAUCGGGAUGGUGUAAUAAACAUGAUGUGAUUGAUUGAGUUGACAUUGUUUUCUUUAAUUGGAUACAUUCUUACUUGUCCCUAUCUCUAUUAUGUCAGUAUUGAAUUGCUUGGGUUAUCUGAUUUACGUGAUUUCCGUUCGUUACUAUCCGUGUUCUCCCUUUAUUGUUUAUACUAUUUGUACUUGGAUUUUCUCUCCGCAGUUGAUAUUACUCUUUAUCUUUAUCUUGAUGUUUUAUUAUCAUAUCCUGUUAAUUUUAUUUGACCAGUAGGUGUCCUGACUGUUCCUCGUCACUACCCCACCGAGGUUAGUCUCGAUACUUACUGGGCACUGCCGUGGUGUGCUCAUACUACACUUAUGUAUAUUUUUGUGUACAAAUCCAAGUGGAUUGAUAGUAGCUGUGCGGGUCGUCGUGGUGGAGACUCAAGGUAAACCUGCUACAGCGUUCGCAGGUCUCGGAGUCACCUUCAUUUGUAUUUAUUUCCAUUUGCUCCUUUGUUUCGGUGCAGUGAUGUAUUAUUUUGUGUAUUUACUCUUAGAUAGGCUUGUGACUUGUACCACCGAUUUUGGGAAUUGUAAAUUGUUAAGAGUUAUAGAAUUUAAAGUUGGCAAAUAUCAAUGUUAUUUCAGUUAAUUUUAGGCUUACCUAGUUUAGAGACUAGGUGCCAUCACGACUCCUUCGGAAGGAUUUUUGGUUCAUGAUAAUCACCAAUUGAAUACUAUCUACGAAUCUAAGGUUGAACUCGGGAGAGGGAAUUUUAUAUUGCAUAUAAGAUUGAAUAGAGCAAGAUCUUAACUCUUAGGGGGAGCAGAUUUGUGGUUAGGAUAGGAAUAUACCUAAUCACCUUGCUUGGUUAUUAUACGGAAAUUAUAAAUACGUUCUUGUUAAUUCUAAUUCCAUAGGAAUAUAGGCAUUAUAUUAGCUUGAAUAGGCGAGUUGUACUUUGGGAGAAGGCUACGAGAAAUAUUAACCAUGUCAACCAAUAAACCAGAUAAAUUAAUUAGACGGUUUAAGUGAAAAACUCAACGGGAUUGUUAGCUAACCCAUAACUCUAGAAUAUUCACUCACAUUGAAUUCCGCUUUAAGUUUGUCGUUGUUUUCUUUAAUAUCUUAAUUUGUUACUUUAGAUUAAUUUUAGUUAAAUAUUCAUACGUUAGGAUUCGCUUGAUUAGAUUAAUUGUUUGAUUUAAUUUAGUUGAUAGUUAAUCACAAGUCCCUGUGGGUACGAUAUCUGGGUUUACAAUCCUAAAUUACUUGUUGACCGUGUAUACUUGCGUGUGCGUUUGGGAGCAACAAGUUUUUGGCGCCGUUGCUGGGGACUUAGAAAUUGACUCUUCUACUAGAUUGGAUAUUUUACUUUUUGUCUAUUCAAGUUUUUAUUUUUAUUUUUAUCUUAUUUUAGUAUUUUAUUAUCUUUAUUUACAUGGCAUCUUGGAACGAGAGUUAGUCGAAUAUUGGUUGUUCUUAUUUUGGUGAUCCAUGUCCAUAUUGUGGAGUACCAUACUUGUGGCAAAAUUGUGCAUCUAAAUAUGAUGUGUGAAAUAUUUGUAAUGUGUGUGGUUGUCAAGGUGGCCUCUGGGAUGGCUGUCCUAAUUCUUAUUAUCCUUCUCAGAGUUCUUAGUAUAAUGUUUCUAAUAAUGUUUAUGAGUUUGAUAGGAACAACAAAGUGGAGGAUAUAGAAAGCAUGGCUCGUAUUAUGGACAUGAUAAGGCAAAUAGCCGAGCAACAGAACAUGAUGAGGCAAAUAGUCGAGCAACAAAGUCUUGAUGACUUAAUGAUCAAAAGACUCCAGGCUAGAAUGGACGAAUUAAUGGCCAAUUUACAAGAAGAACCUCAAUUCGAUGAAGAGAGCGAGUUCCCAUAAGAAGAUUAUUUUGAAGAAGCAGAUAUAGUGAGCCAAUCUUGGCUUGAGGAACAAACUCAACUGAUAAAAUCUCAUGAGUUUCUCUGUGAUGGUCUUUCAAAUAUGACAGAACAACUGAUAGACGAAAGAACUGAGCUCAGGCAAGAAAUAGACCAAUUUGGCUUAGAUAUGCAUGACCUGCAUGAUUAAUUGAAUAAAAAGGUUGAGACGUCUGAUGUCCUACAACCAAUUUUUGUGGAUACUGGCCAGCUUGAGGAGCGAAAAGAGGAACUCCAACUAUUCGACCAAAAUAUUAUUAAUGAUGCCAAGGUUGAGAAAGAGGGCAAAAUUGAGGAUGUCAAAAAUAAUACAAUUUUGGAGUUGGAGCGUAUUGGACCUCAUUCAAAACACUUUUCAACAUUGUGUUUGGUUGGUGACAUGAGAAUUGAUCCAGUCGAGCAUAUGAAGGAGUCAAUGGAUGAGGAACAAAGUGCUUAUAUACUAAAAUUUGUGAUGUCAAAGAGACGAAAUGACAUCCCCCACUUAAAGGCCAAGAAGUGCAAGAUGCGAUACCUAUUGCUUGGUUCAUUCAUUUUUAUACCAUCGCCCCAGGAACGUAAUAGAAAAAUUGAUGCAAACUUGGGCGCAAUUCAUAUCUUCAAAGUGGAAGGAAAAGUGGUGAAAUUGAUGAAGUCGUGCCACGACUAUAAAUAAGGCGCUUGUUGGGAGGCAACCCAGCCCGUAUUUUAAUUUUUUUUAUAUAGUGUCAAGUUUCGUGUUGUUUUUAUUUUGCAGAAUAGAGGAAGUCUGAGCACCCGAAGUUGAAGCUGAGGAGCAUGUUUGAGCUUAUGUGUGGGGUCGUCUUGACCCUUAAUAUUGAGGAUCAUGUCCGAGUAAGGCCCGAGAGGGCCUCAGGGAGUAUUUCUCACCCGUGUUUUAAUAUUUUUUCUCUAUGAUCAUGCAUCGAGGAAUAUGCAUAAAAUAUGUGCGGGAUGGGGAGACUAUUUUCUGAAGUAUAAUUAUAUAAAAUUAUUUUUUAAUUUAGUUUUUCUUUUAGAACUCGUAGUAAACAUAGCCUAGGUAAAAAAAACGAAAAUUGAAAAAAAAUUAGAAAAAGUUCAGACUUUUCCCGAUGAUGGAUCUUUUGGACAAUUUUCUUGAGGGAUAAAGUUCGAUUACAAAUACCAAUUUUUUUUUUAGGAUAGUUAGGUAGUAUCCCUUGGGUUUUCUUUGGGCGCCGGUCUUUUCCAAGGGUGUAGCUCAAACCGGGUACUAUUUUUUUCUUUAGGAGUAGUUUAGGAAGAAACUGAGUCGCUCUGAGAUCCUCAUUGACAUGGGUGAUGCUGACACAUUAGGCUAUGACAUACAUUCUAUUUUCCCGUGUAUUUGGUUUGAAUUGUGAAGCCUAAGUAAAGUAAAUAGCUAUUUUGUGAUGCAUUUUCUCAUUUGUUUGACUCGUAUGCCACAUAGUGUAAUAUUGUUUAAAUUUAUCAAUUAUGUGUGCUUGCUUGACUUGGGAGUUGAACAGAACCGUCUUGAUUGAGUCAUGUACAACAUGUGUGUGAGGAUUUGUGGUUUUCUGUGCUAUUACUGUGUAGUCUAGAACUUGCCAUGUGUGUUAAUCGAAGCGAAAUUAUAAGUUUUUCUGAUUUAGGAGAUGAUGUAGGCGUUUCUUGCUUGGUCAUGGAUGUGCUUUUCACAUAAAAAUAAAAUUUUCCGUUGCUAGCCCCUUUGAGCCUAUAGACCUUUUCUUUGGCAACUACAUUACAAGCCAUACCCCUAUUUUGUUCUUAAUUUGAUAUUAAUUGAACCUUUACCUCCUAAGGCACUUCGUUGCUAAAAGAAAUAAGGUUAGAGAUUGGGGAGUAGCUUUUGAGUGGAACUAUGGAAAGGCCCAUUGGUGUACUAAAGUUGAAAUUAAAAGUCACUAGCCGAUGAACUUUAAUGUAUGGAGUGUAUGAAGAAAAGAAAAAAAAAAGGAAAAGAAGAAUUGCAAGAAAAGAUAAAAAAAAAUGAUAGCUCAAAUAAUGUAGAAAAACACACACCUCCAAUUCUUAUUGAUUUGUGCUAAUGGAAAUAUAGAAGUGCUUAAUUGAAAAGAGGGCUAUGUUGCAUAUGGUUUGGGGCAAGUGAAUUGGUUGAGAAGAAUAUGUGCUUAAAUUAUAAAUGUAAUGUAUUAAAGUGCUUAGGAGGGUAAGUCACUAUUUUUAAAUGUAUCAUAUCCGUCCCUUAGCCUACAUUACAACCUUAAAGUCCUAAUUGUCCUAGAUUUGGCUAGCUUAAAUUAGUAGAGAUAUACACUACGGGNNNNNNNNNNNNNNNNNNNNNNNNNNNNNNNNNNNNNNNNNNNNNNNNNNNNNNNNNNNNNNNNNNNNNNNNNNNNNNNNNNNNNNNNNNNNNNNNNNNNNNNNNNNNNNNNNNNNNNNNNNNNNNNNNNNNNNNNNNNNNNNNNNNNNNNNNNNNNNNNNNNNNNNNNNNNNNNNNNNNNNNNNNNNNNNNNNNNNNNNNNNNNNNNNNNNNNNNNNNNNNNNNNNNNNNNNNNNNNNNNNNNNNNNNNNNNNNNNNNNNNNNNNNNNNNNNNNNNNNNNNNNNNNNNNNNNNNNNNNNNNNNNNNNNNNNNNNNNNNNNNNNNNNNNNNNNNNNNNNNNNNNNNNNNNNNNGACUAUGGGAUGCAUAUGAACUCUUUGUGAGAGUGAGAGAAUUUUGUUCAAUUGUGCGAUGUCCUUAAUCUAUAUUCAAAAGUAUAUUUGAAUGUGUGGACUAUCUAUAUUCACUCUUUUAUUUGUUGGUUAGGGCACAUGAUCUCAUGAAUGAUUGGUGAUGUUGUAAACUUUCUUAUUGGGUAAGUGCAUGAGUUGAGGGUGCUUAGUGGUUGCAAGUCGGCUUUUAGGUUGGGUGGUGACAAAUAAGUUGUUGAAAUUGAUUGAAUUGAAGGGUUACACUUGGGCAUGCUUGAACGGGAAGAAUGUGAAAUUUUGUGUGUUCAUGCUUCUGUGUCAGUAUUGAUCAUAGUCAAGGGUAUAGUAUGUGGUUAAAAGUUAAAGUUCUCUUCUAUAAUUGAUACUUGUACAUAGUUGGGGGUUUAUUGGAUAGUCCCAUUGAUCGAGGACGAGCAAGAGUCUAAGUGUGGGGUGUUGAUGUUUAGCUUAAAGGAUAUAUAUUUCGAUGUAUAUCGCCUCAUAUUUUACUUUUAUUUAGUGAAGUUGGGAUGUUAAAUGCUAUGAUUUAUGUUAAUUUAAAGCGUUUUUAUGUGUAGGAAUUAUUCGGGAGUAAUUGGGGGCGAAACGCGCAAGAUUUGAGCCAAAACAAACAAAAUUAAACGAACUGAGCAUUUGGGCGCCACAAGCAGCGCUGGAAACAGAAGCUGAAAAUUGGGCAUCGCCUUGGUGGGCGCCUGGCGCCGGGUGGGUGCCGUUGACGUGAUUUUUGUCCUAUUUUUCCCGGGACACGGUUUAUUCGGCCCUAGACCUAUCCAACACGUAUAAAAGAAAGAGUAAGCCUAUUUUUGAAAGGGGAGGACGCCACUUUGAGGAUAUAGAACAUACUUUGAAGGAGAAUUCACGUAGGGGAACACACCACGCUUGGAGGAGGAUUCUAACUAGUUUUUCUUCUCUUCUCUUCCUUUAAUUUUAUAGUUUAUUAGUUCUAGAGUUUUGGGUGCUACAUGAACGUUGUAGUUUGAAGCUUAGAUUUUUCUUAUUAUUCUAUCAUAUUGGUUUAUUUAUUCAAUCUUGUGCUUUAUUAUUUGAUUGCUUGAUCACCAAUUGAAUACUAUCUACGAAUCUAGGGUUGAAUUCAGGAGAGGGAAUUCUAGAUUGCAUAUAAGAUUGAGUAGAGCAAGAUCUUAACUCUUAGGGGGAGCGGAUUUGCGGUUAGGAUAGGAAUAUACCUAAUCACCUUGCUUGGUUAUUAUACGGGAAUUAUAAAUGUGUUCUUGUUAAUUCUAAUUUCAUAAAAAAUAUAGGCAUUAGAUUAGCUUGAAUAGGCGAGUUGUACUUCGGGAGAAGGCUACGAGCAAUAUUAACCAUGUCAACCAAUAAACCAGAUAAAUUAAUUAGACGAUUUAAGUGGAAAACUCAACGGGAUUGUUAGCUUACCCAUAGCUCUAGAAUAUUCACUCACAUUGAAUUCAGCUUUAAGUUUGUCGUUAUUUUUUUUAAUCUCUUAAUUUGUUACUUUAGAUUAAUUUUAGUUAAAUAUUCAUACGUUAGGAUUUGCUUGAUUAGAUUAAUUGUUUGGUUUAAUUUAAUUUAAUUGAUAGUUAAUCACAAGUCCCUGUGGGUACGAUAUCUGGACUUACAAUCCUAUAUUACUUGUCGACCAUGUAUACUUGCAUGUGCUUUUGGGAGCAACACAUCAUCUAAGCAAGAAGGAGGCCUUGGGCUGUACAAAGCAAAAGGGAAAAAAUGUUGCACUCCUCUCAAGCCUACUACAGAGAUAGCUCUCCAAUCCUGAGUCCCUAUGGGCUAAAGUAAUAAAGGGUAAAUAUCUUAAAAAUUCGCAAAAGAAUCCUAUGAUUUAUAAAACCAAUGGCUCCUACAUAUGGAAAAGCACUGCAAAGUGUUAUUUAUUUUUCUCCAAAGGCAUAGCUUGGAAUGGUCGAAAUUGUAAUGACCCAAUCGGUCGUUUUGAGCAUUUACACUUUGCUCGAUAGUUUAUGGGCAUGAGUAGCUCCAUAUGAUGUAUUAUGACUUAUGUAAAUUGUCAUUUUUGGUUUUCAGGUUAUUCAAAAUCGGUUUGGAAGAAUGAAUUUCAUUGUUGAAGCUUUAAGUUGAAAGAGUUGACCAAGUUUGAAUUUUGUGAAUUUGACCCCGGAACGGAGUUUUGAUGGUUCCAUUAAGUUCGGAUGGUGAUUUUGGACUCGGACGUAUGCCCGAAUUUGCAUUUGGAUGUUUCUAGAAGGUUUCGGCACAAGUUGGUAAAUGUUGGAAAUUUGAAGGUUUGGAAAGUUUAAAAGUUUGACCGAGAGUUGACUUUGUGGAUAUGAGGUACGGAUUGUGGUUCCAGGAGUUGGUAUAGCUUCAUUUUGUCAUUUGAGACUUGUGUGCAAAAUUUGGGCUAAUUCCGGGUUGAUUUGCUAUGUUUCGGCAUCGGUUAUGGAAAUUAAAAAGUUCAAAGUUCAUUAAGUUCGAUUUGAGGUGUGAUUCCUCAUUUCGAUGUUGUUAUGCGUAAUUUGAGGCCUCGAGUAGGUCUGUAUUAUGCUAUUGUGCUUGUUGGUAAAUUCGGACGGGGUCCCAAGAGGCUCGGGUGAGUUUCGGACGAGGUUUGGAUUUGUUUGGAUCAUUUUGGCCAAGUUGCUGGUGACAGAUCUGGUGUGAUAGCACAUGCGAUUGGUAUUGCACAAGUGCAAUGGCCGCAGAAGCUAGCCCAGGUUCGCAGGUGCGAUAAUGCACUGUUGGGUGGGAGUCCAGAGAUGCGGAAGGAUUGCAUAGGAGCACAACCGUAGAUGCGGUUCUGAGCAUCACAUAAGCGACCACUGGAGGGUCGAGGCUGUCUCGCAAAUGUUUGCCUUUUUCCGCAAAAGCGAAGGUCACAGACGCCUCCACUUAUCCACAAAUGCGAAAUCUGAUGGGCAGAAUGCUUUAUGCUCGAGGGUCGGUCAUUUUAUCACAUUUUUGGAGCUAUGGAGCUCGGAUUGAGGUGAUUCUUGAAGAAAUUUUCACCAUACGAAUUGAGGUAAGUGUUCUCUACUCGAUUUUUUAUUACAUUUCAUGAAUCCAUCUUCAUUUUUAGCAAUUGGUUGAAGAAUUUAAAGAGGAAAUUGGGGGUUUUGGCCUAAAGUUUCAUAAUAUAAUUUUUUUGAGUUUUCAACACCGAUUUGAAGUCGGAAUUGAGUGAAACUAGUAUGAUUGGACUCGUAAUUGAAUGUGUUAUCGAAUUUUAUGAGUUUUGUCGGGUUUCGAGGCGCGGGCUCCGGUGUGAGUUUUGGCCGGUUUUGGUUUUUUAUUAAGGAUUCUAUCUUUAUCAUUUGGAAUUAUUUUCUUGGGCUUUAUUUGAUGUAUUUGAGUUGCUUUUCGCUAGUUUUGAGUUGUUUGAAGAUCGCUACGUGCAUGAUGACAUCUUUGGAGCAUCGUUUGGCUUGCUAGGUAUUGCUUUUGGCUUGUUCGAGGUAAGUAACAAUUCUAAACUUAGUGUUGAGGGUAUGAAACCCUAAAUUACGUGUUAUGUGAUUAGUGUUGAGGUGACGCAUAUGCUAGGUGACGGGUGCGUAGGCGUGCACCGUGUGAAUUACGACUCCGCUAUUUCUAUGGUACUGUGUAGUUACCUGACCAUAUUUGUAACCAUGAAAUCUCUAUGUACUAGAACUAUUGAGCUAUGAUCUAUCACGACCCAAAAUCUACUAAUCGUGAUGGAACCUAACCCAACCUGCUAAGUAAGACAACUAAUAACUAUCCAAUUUCAAUAAUCUUAGCAUUUCAAUUAAAUAGAAUAAAUUAUCUGGAUCUAUUACGUUUCCCAAGGACUAGUAGUACAAAUUAUGAGCUUCUAAGAGUAGAAUUUAUAAAAGAUGAUAUGAAAUGAAUAUAUCUUCUGUUUGAAAAGUACAUAAAUAGAGUUUUAUAAUCUAAGGCUACCAUGAAUAAGAGGCAGUUACAUCAGGGACGCAGGUACAACUUCAAAGCUAACUCCUGCCAUGCACAACAAUAUCGGCAUCCGAAAUCUGCACACAAUGUACAGGAAGUGUAGUAUGAGUACAACCGACCCCAUGUAUUCAAUAAGUAACAAAUUUAACCUUAGGUUGAAAGCAGUGACGAGUUGGAACAUAGGUCGGAUCCAACACCAAUAACUAAUAGCAGUUCAUAACAGUGUAAAACAAGUAAAUAAAUAAGUAGCUCAGAGAUAAAAUGCUCAACCUUUUCAUAGUUUUCCGAAAUAGUUCCACUUUUAAGGUAUAUCAGUAAAAAUCCAAAUCCUUUACCGAAGUCGUCAAAAAUAGAGUAGGUUUGAAAACUGUAACUUUUCCCAAAAACUUUUCAUCAGGUAAAUGUUUCAUUUUCAGAUAGCAUGAGGAAAGUACAUCUUUAUGCCUACAUGUCAAGCUACAGGUAAAAAUCAUGAAUGUCACCAAAAACGGGUAGCAAAAGAAAAAAUGCAUCUCUGUGCAUGUAUCUCAAGUAUGUAUGUCAAAUGAAAUGCCUCUCAGUGAUGAACUCAUGUACUUAAACUCUCAGAGUACUCAACCUCACUGUAUCGCAUUAUCUCUUACCGUGCUCAAUACUCAGCAUACUCAAUCACUCAGCACUAUACAGUACUCGUUGCGGCAUACAACCCGAUCCUUAAACACAUACAUAGUCGACUGCGCUCAUUGGGAGUGUGCAGAAUCCGGAGGGGCUCCUACAACCCAAAUGUUAUAAUCUGCACGGACAACUCACGUGCUAUAACAUCAAUAUCUGGUUCCGCACGGACAACUCACGUGCUACAUGGACAACUUACAUGCCAUAGUAUCAAGAUCAGAAUCCGUACAGACAACUCACGUGCCAUAGUAUUAAUAUCUCACAAUUAGGCCAUCGGCCUCACUCAGUCAUCAAUAUCUCCAGUCUCACUCACGGGCUCACAAUGUCAUGAAACUAGCCCGACAACAAUGAUAUGAUGUAUCAAUAAACAACAACUGAGACUGAGAUAUGAUAUGAAUGCAUGAAUAUAACUGAGUACGAAGUAUCAAUGAAAUCAGUGAGAUGACAACAAGAAACAACCUCUAUGGGUCCUAACAAUAUCAUCAUAAAGCCUAGACAUGAUAUCUAGCAUGAUUUAACAGCUCAGUUAUUUAAUCUCAUGGUGAAAACACAUAUAUCAACAAAAUAGGACCAUUAAACAGUGCCAUGAAACAACAGAGUCACAAUUCAUAGGGUGCACACCCACACGCCCGAUACCUAGCAUGUGCAUCACCCCAAUACCAAUCACAUAACACGUAAUUUGGGGUUUCAUACCCUCAACACUAAGUUUAGAAGAGUUACUUAUCUCAAACAAGCUAAUUCAAAAUGCCGAGCAAGACAAGUGAUGCUCCAAGAAUGCCAUCACAUGUGUAGCGACCUCCGAAUAACUCAAAACUAGUCAAUAACAACUCAAAUACAUCAGAUAAAGCCCAAGGAAGCAAUUACAAAUGAUAAAGAGCGAAUCCUAAAUCAAAUCCCAAAUCCUGCCAAAAUUCACACCCGAGCCCGCACCUUGGAACCCGACAAAACUUACAAAAUCCGAUAACCCAUUCGAUUACGAGUCCAACCAUACUAGUUUCACUCAAGUCCAACUCCAAAUUGAUGUUCAAAAUUCAAAAAUUCUUAUUAUGAAACUUUAGGCCAAAACCCCCAAUCCCCUCUUUAGAAUUCAUCAAUCAAAUGCUAAAAUCAAAGAUAGAUUCAUGAAAUAUAACAAAAACCGAGUAGAGAACACUUACCCCCAUUCACAUGGUGAAAAAUACUUCAAGAAUCGCCUCAAUCCGAGCUCCAUAGCACCCAAAAUGCAAAAAUGGCCGAAACCCUCGAAAUAGAGUACUUUAUAAAGCUGCCCAGGCCUCCACUUUCGCGAACGCGGCAAUACCAUCGUGUUCGCGAUGAAAAAUAUGCACCAGCAUAUAAGACUCUACGCGUUUGAGAUGUAAUCCUCGCAAGCGCGAUGCACAGCAGGACCAACCCUUCGGGAAUGCGAAGACAUAUCCUCCACUUCCUGAGUUUAAGUUCUAUGCGAACGCGAUUCCCAAUCGCGAACGCGGAACCCAAUCAACUUACAUUUCGCGAACACGUUCCUUAUAUCGCAUACGCGAAGAACAAAUUUCACAGCAUGCCCAAACACACUUCGCAAUCACAGUUGGACCUUCGCGAUCGCAAAGAACACUAGAAACACCAGGUAUAAGCAGAAACCAACACAACAACAUGGAGGAAAAAUGGCCCAAAAUCAAUCUGAAACACCCUCGAGCCCUUCGGGACCCCAUACAAAUAUACAAAUAAGUCCCAUAACAUAACACAGACCUACUUGAGGCCUCAAAAUACACAUAACAACAUUGAAAUGACGAAUCACACUUCAAUUCGAAAUCAAUGAACUUUGAAACUUCAAACUUUGACAACCGAUGCCGAAACCUAUCAAAUCAUGUCCGAUUGACCUCAAAUUUUGCACACAAGUCAUAUUUGACAUUGUGAACCUGUUCCAACUUCCGGAAUCAGAAUCCAACUCCGAUAUCAAAAAGUCCACUCCCGGUCAAACUAUCCAAAAUUCAAACUUUCACCAUUUCAAGCUAAAUUCUACUACGGACCUCCAAAACGUAAUCCGGACGCGCUCCUAAGUCCAAAAUCACCCAAUGGAGCUAACAAAACCAUCAAAAAACCAAUCUGAGGUCAAAUACUAAAAAGUCAAACUUGGUCAAACCUUUCAAAUUUUAAAGCUUUUAGCUUAGAAUUAUUCUUCCAAAUCAAUUCCGAAUAACCUAAAAACCAAAAUAGACGGUUCACAUAAGUCAUAAUACAUCAUAUGGAGCUACUCAUGCCCUUAAACAACCGAGCAAAGUGCAAAUACUCAAAAUGAUCGAUCGGGUCUUUACCAGGGGCGGAUAUAGUGUAUAAUCAACGGGUUCAAUUGAACCCAUAACUUUCUAUGCGGAGUAAAAAUUUGUAUGUAAAAAUUUAUUAAAAUUGCAAGAAUAGUAGAUAUGAACCCAUAACUUUAAAAAUAUAAUGGGUUCAAUGCUAAAAACUUUAAAAGUUAAACCCAUAGAGUUUAAAUACUUGAUCCGCCUCAGGUCUUUACAUGAUCCAUGUUAGAAUCCAUGUCUAGGCUACAUGCUUAUCCUAUUGGGACCCAUUGGGGUCGUUUUUGCUAUUGAGCUAUUUGCUUUCAUUGCAUUACAUACUCAGUCAUAUGUAUUCAUACGCCUCAGUCUCUGAUACGGUCUAUUGUUACAUCAUAUUAUUAUUUUUUGGGCUAAUAUUUCAUGACAUUGUGAGCCUGUGAAAGAGAUACUGGAGAGAUUAAUGACUGAGUGAGGCCGAGGGCCUGAUUAUGAGGAUAUUGUUACUAUAGCACGCGAGAUCAGCAUAUGAGUUGUCCGUGCGGAUCUAGAUAUUGAUAUGUUAGCACGUGAGUUGUCCGUGCAGCACGUGAGUUGCCCAUGCGGGUUAUAGCGCUUAGGCUGUAGGAGCCCUUUCGAAGUUCUGCANACCCCCAGUGAGCGNNNNNNNNNNNNNNNNNNNNNNNNNNNNNNNNNNNNNNNNNNNNNNNNNNNNNNNNNNNNNNNNNNNNNNNNNNNNNNNNNNNNNNNNNNNNNNNNGAGGAAUGCGAGACAGUGAGAUUGAGUACUCUGAGAGUGUGAGUACAUGAGUUCAUAACUGAGAGGCAUUGUAUUUGACAUGCGUUCUUGAGAUACAUGUAUAAAGAUGCAUUUCCUUUUGCUAUCCGAUUUUGCUGACAUUCAUGAUUUUACCUGUAUCUUGACAUAUAAGCAUAAAGAUGUACUUUCCUCAUGCUAUCUGAAAACGAAACAUUUACCUGAUGAAAGGUUUUUGGAUAAAAUUAUAGUUUUCAAACUUACUCAUAUUUUUGAUGAUUUCGGUAAAGGAGCUGGGUUUUUCACUGAUAUACUUAAAAAGCGAACUAUUUUCGGGGAUUUGAAAAAGCUGAGAAUUUUAAACUCUGGGUUACUUUUUUUAUUACUUAUUUUACAUUGUUAUAAACUGUUGUUGGUUAUUGGUGUUGGACCCGCCUAUGUUCCAGCUCGUCACUACUUUCAACCUAAGGUUAGAUUUGUUACUUAUUAAGUACAUGGGGUCGGUUGUACUCCUACUAUACUUCUGCACCUUACGUGCAGAUGUUGGCUGAUGAUGUUGCUGUGAUCGAUGGGAGUUGGGAUUGAAGAUGUUCCUGCAUUCCGGUUGUAUCUGCCUCUUGUUCAUGGUAGCCUUAGAUUACUAAAACUAUGUUUAUGUACUUUUCAAACAGAUGAUGUAUUUACUUCAUACAGCUUUGUAAACUCUAUUCUUAGAAGCUCAUGAUUUGUACUGCCAUUCCUUGAGAAAUGUAUAAGUUUCAGAUAAUUUCUUCCAUUUAAUUAUUUUAUUAAUUUCAUAUUGGAAUUGGAUAGUUGCUAAUUGGCUUACCUAGCGGAUUGAGUUAGGUGCCAUCACGACUAGUCAGAUUUUGGGUCAUGACAGAAAUGGACGAGAGAUAAGCGUAUGGAAUGAUAGAUGGAUUACUGGCAAACCCACUCUAAGGGAAUUAAUACAGGGCCCUUUAAGUAAUGAAGAUAUCAAUAAAAAAUUGAACUACCUUAUUAUCAAUAAAAAUUGGAAUCUAGAAGCUCUUUUGUACGAACUCCCAAAAUCAUGAACCUUUUCACCAUUUCUGGAUAUGGAAAGCACUAUGCCACAACAAGCUCAUAACUUUCCUAUGGCUAUUAGUCCAUCGACGACUCCCUACUGCAACUAUCUUGAGCUAAAGAAAAAUAAUUGAUUUAAUACCUACAAACAUUGUGGGCCAGAGGAAAACACAAACCACUUGUUCUUUCAUUUCUCUAUGAACAACGCAAUAUGGGGAGAUUUAAACAUCACCACUCCAAUAUCAAACCAACUAGAUUGGAUAAAAAGUACUUGUACCUCUACCAUGAGCAUCCUUCUACCAAAUAACACAACAAUCCCAAUGGCAGUUAUAACACCAAUUAUUUUUUGGCAUAUAUGGCUCAACAGUAAUUACAACUAUUUCAAAAACUGUUCAAAAUAAAUAGACAACCAAAAAACAAUUACACACGCAAUGGAAUACCUAUACCUAACAAAUCAUAAUUUCAAAAAUCACUUCAACACUAAAAUCCCAAUAAAAUGGACACCCUAACCACAAAACAUCUAUAAACUUAAUAUAGAUGGUGCACACCAAAAAAACUCUAACAUUAAAGGAGUAGGUGGAAUCAUUAAAGAUUUCGACGGAAACUGGAUUGAUAGUCACAUAAUGGCCUCAUCAACAAUCCAAGGAGAAAUUGUUGCCCUGCUAAAGGGGUUGGAACUUGCUUUCACAAAAAAUCGAACAUCGAUUAUAGUGGAAACAUAUUGCCAGGUAUUACUCUACCUAUUACAAGACAAACUUCACAAUAAAGCUAAUGCUAAUCAUCUUCAUGAUUGCAGGGUCCUGCUCGAUGCACUAAGCCAGCCGGAUGUUAGGCAUGUCUACCGUGAAGGAAACUAAGUGGCACACACACUGGCAUAGUUUGGGAGCAAUUGUAACUCACAUACUAAAGAUGAGCGUGAAGAUCAUUUCUAGAGUGAACCACAUUUAUUUGCUUUCUCUACUUUUCACAAAGACUUAUUAGGGACUGUUUCGUUAAUAUCAGUCUCAGGAUAUAAUAACUCUCUUUAAAUUCCUGCAUAAUAAUAAUAAUAUCUCAUCUUUAAGCAAAACAAAUGUUGAGUAUAGUGGGUCCCAGCUAUUUAUGUAUUAAGUAUAGUUAAUUGUAACCACUUAGAGUUAGUUAGUUGUACAAACAUAAUAGAGUAGUUUACUAGCUUUUGUACUACCAUUCAUUUUCUUCCUAGAAGGUCAAUAACAGAAUGAGCUUCCUUUCCGUCUUCCUCUCAUUCUCUCACCUUCUAAAACUUACAGUUCUGCCAUAGCUGAAGCUUCUCAAUAUGGUAUAAGAGCUCGGUGCUCGAUUCUCUGAAGCUCGGCUGUGAUAGAACUUGAGUAAUUCAAUUGCAUUGGUAGUUCCUCAUUUGCAUUGAUCGAUCGAGCUAUUUCUUCAACAUACAAGACUUCUCACUCAUUGGAGGGUUUGGAAAAUUUCAAUUUUAUGGUUGAAUCACAGUCAUAUCGAGUCUAAUUUCAUGUGAAAUCAACAAAAUUGAAAGUUUGUUUCUAAAGUAAUUCCUACUAUGACAAUGGCAUCGAUGAAGAAGAUAUUGAUUUUCCAUUUGCUAAUUCAAUGUCUACGCCAACUACAAAUCUAGUUGAUCACAAUCAUCCUCUCUACAUUCAUUCUUCCAAUACUCAAGGUUCGAUAUUCACUUCUAAUUAACUUCAAGGUUCAGAGAAUUUAUUCUAUUUGGAGUAGAUCUAUCAAAAUCGUGUUGCAUGGUAAAAACAUAUUAGGCUUUGUCCUAGGCACUUGUAGAAAGACCAGGUAUGAUCUUAGUUUACAUGAACUGUGAGAUAGAUGCAAUGCUAUUGUGCUUGUUUGGAUAAUGAACACAGUUUCACCAAAACUAAUCAGUUCAGUGAUCUAUAUCUCUGAUGCACACACAGUGUGAGGGGAUGUUAAAGAGAGAUUUGAAAAGGAUAAUACAUCUAGGGCCUGUUAUUUGAACAAGAAAAUUGUCACAUUGACUCAAGGAAUAUCCUCUGUCUCAAUGUACUAUACUAAACUGAGAACUCUGGGAUGAGUAUGAAACACUAACUCCACCACCUACUUGUGUUUGUGCUUAAUCAAGGAAACAUGUAGAACACUACUAGAUACAGAAGUUAUAUCAGUUCCUCAGGUUUAAAUGAAUCCUAUGAGAAUGCAAAGAAUCAAGUUCUCACGACUCGACCAUUACCUAAUCUGAACCAGGCCUAUGCUAUGAUAGUCAAUAUGGAAAGCCAGAGAAUUAGUGGAAAAGGUAUAUAUGCUGAAAGUAAUAAAGCAGCAAUGAUGAGUAAUAAGGUGUAUACUGGAGGUUACAAUGGUGGAGGACAGCCUAAUACCAGUUCAAAUGGCUCAAAUGGAGGUUACAAACCUAGAAACUCCUUUGGUAAAGCUGUAGUUUGGUGUGAUUACUACAAAUACAAGGGUCAUAUUAGAGAAAACUGCUUUAAGCUUCAUGGUUACCCCCUGACUUUAAGAACAAGAGGAAAGGCGGAGCUCCACAUGCUCAAGCCAAUAGUGUAGUCAAUUAUGGUAUUCCAACCUUAGAGCCACAAGGACAGGGGCAUUAGGUGGCAACUACUCAAGUUCACUUCUUUACUCAAGAAUAGUAUCAGCAAAUUAUGCAUCUUUUGAACAAGGACAGGGAAGUUGAACCUGUAGCCAAUGUUGUUGUUGUAGGGCCAACAGGUACCGUACAUGUAUUCAUGACAAAUUUAGUGCAUAGUAGCUGGAUAAUAGACAUAGGUGCUACAAACAAUAUGCUUCAUAGUUUGAAUAUGCUAGAGAAAUAUGAUGAAAUACUAGAGAAUGCUAGGAGUAAGGUUUAUUUACCAACUGGAAAACAAGUGUCUAUCACUCAUAUUGAUAUUUUUUUAUUGUUUUCAAGGAUAAAAAAGUUCAGAACAUUCUUCACAUUCUAGAGUUUAACUACAAUCUCCUCUCAGUGUCUAAACUCACAAAGGAAUUGAGAUGCCUGCUAGCAUUUUACCCUAACUUCUGUGUCUUUCAGGAACUCUCAAGUGGGAAGGUAUUGGAGAUUGGUAAGGAAGAUCUUGGCCUGUAUAUCCUCAAGGCAGAUGACAUGCAAGUAUUCAUUUAACAAGUUCCUUCUCAACUAGUGUCUCUUUCUAUGUCAACUAUAAAUACCAUGCUAGGUGACAUCAAUAAAUAUAGUAAUCUAGUAGAUAUAAGUCAUAUGCUAUAUUCUCCUUGUGGCAUCAAAGUUUAUGUCAUGCUCUUUUAAAGGUUUUGAUAUCUAUAAAUACUUUGCGUAACAUACAGUUAAGGCAACAUCACUGUACUGUGUGUCCUAUAGCCAAGCAAUCAAGAAUACCCUUUCCUGUUAGCUCCUCUUACUUUAAAUCAAUGUUGGAUAUUAUGCAUGGUGAUGUUUGGGUGCCCUAUAGAGUGCCCACUCAUGAUGGCAAAAGGUAUUUCUUAACUCUGGUAGAUGACUAUUCCAAAUAUACAUGGAUAUUUCUACUUUAUUCUAUCUCAAAUACUAUUGAAGUGUUCAAAAACUUUGUAGCAAUAGUGUCUACACAGUUUGGCAGUAAGCUCAAAUGUUUAAGAACAGAUAAUGGAAUAGAGUUUCUCAAUGAUCAACUACACACCUUAUUGAAGAAUUAGGGAAUAGUACAUCAUACCUCUUGCAUAUAUUCCCCUCAACAUAAUGGGAUUGUUGAGAGAAAAUAUAGGUCCAUCUUAGAUAUGGUCAAGCUUACUUGCCUCAAGAUUCUGGGGAUGUAAUGACCCGGCCAGUCGUUUUGAGUGUUGUAUCCCAAUUCCCUCAUUUAAUGCUCAUUUUAUGUUUAUUAGUUGCUAUGUGACUUGCUGAAGUAGUUGGUUUGAUUUCGAAGAUGUUUCAGAAUAUGGUGAGACACUUAGUCUCAAGGGCUGAAAGCUUAAGUUGAAAAGGUUGACCGGAUGUGAAUUAUGGGUAAAUGGCUCUGAAAUGGAAUUUUUAUGGUUUCGUUAGCUCCAUUGGGAUAUUUUGGACUUAGGAGCAUUUCCGAAUAGUGAUUUGAAGGUCCGUAGUUGAAUUAGUCUUGAAAUGGCAAAAGUUGAAAAAUUAGAAGAUUUGGAAAUUUAGAAUUUUAACCGAGAGUUGACUCUGUGGUUACCAGUCUUGGAUUUUGGUUCUGAGAGUUGGAGUAGGUCCGUAUUGUCAUUUAUGACUUGUGUGCAAAAUUUGAGGCCAAUCGGACUUGAUUUGAUAGGUUUUGACGUCGAAUAUAGAAGUUGGAGGUUCAUAAGUUCGUUAGGCUUGAAUCGAUACACGAUUUGUGAUUUUAGCAUUGUUUGAUGUGAUUUGAAGGCUUGACUAAGUUUGUAUCGUAUUUUAGGACUUGUUGGUGUGUUUGAUUGAGGUUCCGGGGGGCCUCGAAUGGAUUUCGGAUGGUAAAUGGAUCAAUUUUGGACUUUGAGAUUGGCUGAAGUUUUCUGGUGUCUCUGAUCUGGUUUCCUUAUACGCAAUCACAUGGGCAGGUCUGCGUUCGCGUAGGCUUAAUUGGGUAGUGGAGGACUUUGCUCUAUGCAUUCGCGAGAAGAGGGCUGUGAUCGCGUAGCUUAGAGAAGCAUGAAAUCACUAACGCGUGGUCUAGGCCGCACUCGCAAAAAGGAAAGGAGGUAGCUGGGUUCACACGCAUUUGCUCUUCGCGAUAGCGUGAAGAGGGAUGCGAUCACGUGAGUUUGAGGAGUCUGUUCAUCGCGUUCACAUGGUGUUUUCUGCGUUUGCUUAGGGUGAAAUUGAGGGCAAUAUAAGUUGUGCUUCGCGAUCGCGAAGCAAUUUCUGUGAUCGCGAUUAAGGACUUCUAGGCAGAAUAUUAAAUCUCAAAAAUGAGGGUUUGAGUUUAUUUCACAAUUUGAUCGGUGUGAGGCGAUUCUUGGAAAGAAUUUCAAAGGAGUGAUUGGGGUAAGUGAUUCUCACUUAGUUUUGGUUAAAUUUCAUAUUUAUAUUAUUAAUUUCAUCAUUUAAUUACUGAUUUGGGUUGAAAAAUUAGAAAAAAAUGGAGGAAAGUUCUUAGGCCGAAUUUUGGGGAUUUGAUUUAGAUUUUCAUAUUGGAUUUAAGUAAUUUUGGUAUGAGUGGACUCGUGGUUGAAUGGAUGUUCAGAUGUUAUGAUUUUUAUCAGAUUUCGAGACGUGGGCCCGAGGGUUGACUUUUUAAUAUUUGAUUAAGAACUUAGCAUUUUUAUAUGGAAUUGAUUCCUAUAUCUUGAGUUGAUCGUAUGGAAUUGUUUGUGGCUAGAUUCGAGGCAUUCAGAGGCCGUUUUGCGAGGCAAGGGCUUGUUGGAGUAGAGUUUUGCACAGUUUGAGGUAUGUAACAUUUCUAAAAUUAAUUUUGAGGGUACGAAACUCUGAAUUUACGUGUUAUGUGAUUUGUAUUGAGUUAACACACAUGCUAGGUGACGAGCGUGUGGGCGUGCACUGUAAGAAUUGUGACUUGGUCAAUUCUAUGGAAUUGUAUAGUUGAAUAAUCUUGUUGUUACCCAUAUUUUCACCAUGUGUUAGAGCAAUUGAGAUGCCAGUCAUGUUAGAAAUCCUGCUUAGGCUCCAUGUUGGUACUGUUGGGACCCACAGAGGUCAUGUUACAUGUUGCAUUAUUUACUUAAUUUGUCAAACUGUACUUAGUCAAAACUAUUAUUUGCUUAAUAUAUCUAAGUCUCUAUUAUCCUUUAUUUAAUACAUCUUAUCAUCAUUGUUUGGGCUGCUUAUCAUGAUUCUGAUGAGCCCGAGAGACAAGAGAGAUUAAUGACUGAGUGAGACUAAGGGUCUAUUGUGAGUGAUAUUCAUGGGAUCGGGUUGCACGCCACAACAGGCUUUAUUGAUUCAUGCCAAGAUUUGGCUUAUUAUAGCGCUUGGUCUGGAUUGGCCUCUCCGGAGUAUGCACAUCCACAAUGGGCACAAUGCUAGCAGUUAUUUUCAUUUAGGAUGGAUCUGCCUGGUUUAUUUACAUUUUGGGCUGGAUUUGCCCUGUUAUGUGUUGAUUGCAAAACCUGAAAGCAUGUCUAAAUUCUUGUAUCUUUACUUGUAGAUUAUAGAUUUCUGAGAUAUCAUUGUCGUAUUUGUUGUAAGUUUCCGUACUGUUAAUACUGCAUGUGGACUGUAUUACUCAAACUCGCCACUACUUUCAGUCCAAAGGUUAGAUUAUUUACUUAUUGAGUCGGUUGUACUCACGUUAUACCCUGCACCUUGUGUGCAGGUCUAGGUGUUUUUGGUCACGGCGAUUGCUGAUUCACAAAGUUCAGACAUUCGGAGAUUGUUAAGGUAGCUGCUUGGCGUCCACAGACCUUGACUCUCCUCCCUUGUCUUUCAGUUAUUCAUUCAGUUCUACUUUCUAGAUAGUGUACCAGACUAUGCCAUUAUGUAGAUUCUCAUGUACUUAGUGAUAACCCGGUUUUGGGAAAACUUAUGUAUUGAGUUAUAGUAUUCUAUCCUAUUUUAUGAGAUUUUUAUUUAUUUAAAUAGUUUUAGUAUAUUUCAAAUUUUAAAAUUGUUGGAAAUGUCUGAGUAGUCGGCUUGCCUAGUACCAUGAUAGGCGUCAUCACAACAGGUUGGGUUUUGGGUCGUGACAAGUUGGUAUCAGAGCCUAGGUAAAAUAGGUCUCACGAGUCAUAAGCAGGUUUAGUAGAGUCUUGCAGAUUGGUACGGAGACGUCAAUACUUAUUUUCGAGAGGUUGUCGAACCCUUAGGAAACUUCACAUUCUUGUAUUAUUGUCAUACGGAUUUGUUGAUUCUGAGAACUAAACUUCUGUUAUUCUAUUCUCACACGGAUGGUGAGGACACGUGAUGCCGAACAGGAUGGUCAACCAUCAGUACCACCGGCUAGGGCCAAUAGAGGUCGGGGUUAUGGUAGAGGCAGAAGUUCCGCUCGUACAGCAGCUAGAGCAGCACCUGCAGAUCUACCAGUUGCUCCAGCUCAGAAGCAGGUUCCGGAUGUGGUUGAGGCAGUAGGGCCAUCUCAAGCACCAGUUGUGCUUAUUGUGAUUCCAGACCUUCAAGAGGCUUUGGCUUAGAUUUUGACGGUGUGCACUAGCCUUGCUCAGGCAGUUUCUGCUCAGACUGCGCCAACCACUUCUUAGGUAGGGGGAGGUACUCAGACUCCCGUCCCCCGUAGUCCGGAGCAGGUGAUACAAUGACUUCAGAUAUCGAGGGGUAUUACCAGCACAGCCGGUUGCUGUUACGCAUGCCUAGGUGGUCCCGUUAUGACUGACGAUGAGCAUAAGAGGCUAUAGAGAUUUGGGAGGCUCCAGCCUCUAUUAUUCAGUGGGGUUGAGUAAGAGGAUGCCCAGGACUUCUUGGAUAGGUGCCAGCGGAUUCUUUGCACGGUGGGUAUUCUGGAGACCAGUGGUGUCUCGUUCACUACUUUUCAGUUUACUUGGGCUGCCUUCAAAUGGCAGGAGUCCUAUGAGAGGCGCAAGCCAGUCGGUGCAGCACCACAUGGCAUGUAUUAUCCGUUCUCUUCUCGUAGAAGUUUGUGUCACAUACCUGUACGAAGGAGCUGCAUAGGCAGUUCGAGCAGCUACAUCCGGAUGGCAUGUCUGUGACUCAGUAUGGGAUGAGGUUUUUAGAGUUGGCUCGUCAUGUAGUUUGGUUGGUUCUCAUUGAGAGGGAGAGGAUUAGGAGGUUCAUUAGGCCUCUACUAUCAGUAGCAUUUUGUUAUGACUCACGAGAGUGUAUCAGGUGCUACGUUCGACAAGGUGGUUGACAUUUCUCCGAGGCUAGAGAUGGUUCGUAGUCAGGAGCCUAAGGAGAGGGAGGCCAAGAGGCCUCGUGGUUCAGAUGGUUUUAGUGGUAUUCCUUCUGGGGGACAGUCCUACCACAGCAAGGAUCGUCCUUACAAGCCCUCUUAUAUGGCUCGUCCAGUUCAUCGUGGUGUAUCAUCCAGCCACGGUUCAUAUAGUGCUAGACUGGGUCUCAUCUCUCAGUGCUCUCCCAACUCAGAGUUCAUCUCAUGCACCUUCAGUUUAGGGUUCAUCUGCACCAGGUUCCUCUAGUAGUUAUUCUGGUUCAUGGGAUCUGCCUCAGUAUUUGCCACCAUUUUUCGAGAGGGAAUGUUUUGAGUGUGGAGAGCUGGGCCAUGUGAAGAAGUUUUGUCCUCGCCAUAUGAGAGGUACAAUUCAGCUGCCAUGACUUCAUCACCAGUUACUUCACCACUUGCCUAGCCAGCUCGGGGUGGGGCUCAACCACCUAGGGGUCACCCAAGAGGGGGAGGCCGAUCAGGUGGUGGUUAGGCCUGAUUCUAUGCUAUUCUUGCCAGGCCAGAUGUUAUUGCUUCAGACACAGUGAUCACAAGUAUUGUCUCAGUAUGCCACAAGGAUGCUUCUGUAUUAUUUGACGCUGGUUCCACUUACUCGUAUGUAUCAUCAUAUUUUGCUUGUUAUCUAGAUAUGCCCUGUGAGUCCUUAGUUUCAUCUAUUCAUAUAUCUAUGUCGGUGGGCGAUAAUAUUGUUAUAGACCGUGUAUAUCGGUCGUGCGUAGUGACUAUUGGGGUAUUAGAGACUAGAUUUGAUUCUUAUUGCUUAGUAUGGUCGAUUUCGACUUGAUCUUGAGUAUCGAUUGGUUGUCUCCAUGUUAUGCUAUUCUGGAUUGUCAUGUUAAGACCGUGAUAUUGGUGAUGCCUGGAUUUCCAAGGAUCGAGUGGAGAGGUUCUCUAGAUUAUGUUCCCAACAGAUUUGAAGGCCCAAUGGAUGGUUGGGAAGAGGUGUCUAUAUUAUUUGGCCUUUGUGAGAGAUCUCGAUGCAGAUAUCCCUACUAUUGAUUCUGUUUCGAUGGUGCACGAAUUUCAAGAUGUGUUUCCUGUAGACCUAGUGAGCAUGCCACCCGACAGGGAUACUGACUUUGGUAUUGACUUGAUGCUGGGCACUCAGCCUAUUUCUAUUCCUCCGUAUCAAAUGGCAUCAGCUAAAUUAAAAGAAUUGAAAGAACAAUUUCAGGAACUUCUUGAUAAGGGUUUUAUUAAGCCCAGUGUGUCGCCUUGGGGUGCACUGCUUCUGUUGGUGAAGAAGAAGGAUGGUACUAUGCAGAUAUGCAUCGACUAUAGGCAGUUGAACAAAGUUACAAUCAAGAACAAGUAUCCUUUGCCACAUAUUGAUGAUCUAUUUGACCAGCUUUAGGGAGCGAGGGUAUUCUCUAAAAUUAAUUUAAGGUUUGGAUAUCACCAGUUGAAUAUUCGGGACUUAGAUAUUCUAAAGACAGCAUUCAGGACCUGUUAUUGUCACUAUGAGUUUCUUAUGAUGUCUUUUCUGCUGAUCAAUGCCCCCGCAACAUUCAUACAUCUGAUGAACAGUGUAUUUUAGCCUUAUCUCAAUCUGAGUGUCAUAGUAUUCAUUGAUGAUAUCCUGGUGUACUCACGUAGCCAGAAGGAACAUGUGCAACAUUUGAGAUUGUGUUACAGCGGCUGAGGGAGGAGAAGUUUUAUGCCAAGUUCUCCAAGUGUGAGUUUUGUCUUAGUUCAGUGUCGUUCUUGCCUGCACGUGGUGUCUAGUGAGGGGAUUAAGGUGGAUCCGAAGAAGAUAGAGGCGGUUCAAAGUUAGCCCAGACCGUCCUCAGCUAAGGAGAUUCAGAGCUUUCUCGGUUUGGCUAGUUAUUAUCGUCACUUCGUGGAGGGUUUCUCGUCUAUUUCAUCGCCUUUGGCCAAAUUGACCUAGAAGGGUGCUCCAUUCAAGUGGUCAGAUGAGUGUGAGGAGAGCUUUCAGAAGCUCAAGACUGCCUUGACCACAACUCCAGUUCUAGUUUUGCCUUCAGCUUCUGGUUCUUAUACGGUGUAUUGUGAUGCUUCUCAGAUCGGUAUUAGGUGUGUCUUGAUGCAGAAGGGUAGAAUGAUUACUUAUGCUUUGUGUCAUUUGAAGCCCCAUGAGAAGAACUACUAUGUUCAUGAUUUGUAGUUGGCAGCCAUCGUUCAUGCAUUGAAGAUUUGGAGGCAUUAUCUCUCCGGUAUGUCUUGUGAGGUAUUUACGGAUCAUCUGAGUCUCCAGCACUUGUUCAAAUAAAAGGAUCUAAAUUUGAGGCAGUGGAGAUGGUUGGAGCUGUUAAAGGACUAUGAUAUCACCAUUCUAUAUGAUCCCGAGAAGGCCAAUGUGGUGGUCGAUGCCUUGAGUAGAAAGGCAGUGAGUAUUGGUAGCUUUGCAUUCAUUCUUGUUGGUGAUAGGCCACUUGCAGUUGAUGUUCAGUCCUUGGUCAACCAGUUUGUGAGAUUAGAUAUUUCAAAGCCCUGCCAGAUUCUAGCUUGUGUGGUUUCUCGGUCUUCCUUAUAUGAUCGCAUUAGAGAGCACCAGUAUGAUAAUCCCCAUUUGCUUUCCUUAAGGACACUAUUCAGCACGGUGAUGCCAAGGAUGUUACUAUUAGGGAUUAUGGGGUGUUGAGGAUGCAAGGUCGGAUUUUUGUGCCUAAUGUAGAUGGGCUACAUGAGUUGAUUCUUGAGGAGAUCCAUUGUUCGUGGUAUUCCAUUAAUUUGGGUGCCGCGAAGAUGUACCAGAACUUGAGGCAACACUAUUGGUGGAGGAGGAUAACAAGGAUAUAGUGGGGUUUGUAGCUUGGUGCCUUAACUGACAGCAGGUGAAGUAUGAGCAUCAGAGGCCGGGCGGAUUACUUUAGAGGCUUGAGAUUUCGGAGUGGAAAUGAGAGCGUAUCACUAUGGAUUUUAUAGUGGACUCCUAUGGACUUUCGAGGAAGUUUGAUGCUAUUUAGGUGACUAUGGAUAGGUUGACCAAGUACCCACACUUCAUUCCAGAUGGGACUACUUAUUCUUUGGAGAGGUUUGUUGAGAUCUACAUCCGCAAGAUUGUUCUCCUUCACGGUAUGCUAGUGUCCAUACUUUCAGAUCGGCGCACGCAGUUUACAUCGCAAUUUUGGAGAGUCGUGUAAUUAGAGUUGGGCACAUAGGUUGAGUUGAGUACAACAUUUCACCCUUAGACGGACGGGCAGUCCGAAUGCACUAUUCAUAUAUUGAAGGAUAUGUUAUGUGCUUGUGUCAUAGAUUUAAGGGGUUCUUAGGAUCAGUUUCUGCCGCUCGCAGAGUUUGCCUACAACAAUAGCUACUAUUCGAGCAUUCAGAUGGCUCCGUAUGAGGCUUUUGUAUGGAAGACGGUGUCAGUCUCCAGUGGAAUAGUUUGAGCUAGGUGAGGCUAGGUUAUUGGGUACUGACUUGGUUCAGGAUGCUUUGGACAAGGUUAAAUUAAUUUAGGAUCGGCUUCACACGGCGCAGUCUAGACAGAAGAGUUACGCCGAUCGGAAGGUUUGUGAUGUUUCUUACAUGGUUGGGAGAAGGUACUGCUCAAGGUUUCAUUAUGAGGUUUGAGAAGAAGGGCAAGUUAAGCCCUCAGUAUAUUGGACCGUUUGAGGUGCUUCUAAGGAUUGGAGAUGUGGCUUACAAGCUUGCCUUGCCGCCUAGUCUGUCGAGUGUGCAUCCAGUAUUUCAUAUUUCUAUGCUCCAGAAGUAUAUCGACGAUUCGUCUCAUGUUUUGGAUUCCAACACGGUUCAGUUAGAUGGUUAUUUGACUUAUGAUGUGGAGCCGGUUACCAUUUUAGGUCGGCAGGUUCGAAAGUUGAGGUCUAAGGACAAAGCUUCGGUGAAGGUGCAGUGGAGAGGUCAGCCAGUUGAGGAGGCUACUUGGGAAACCAAGUGAGAGAUACGAAGCAGAUAUCCACACCUAUUUGAGACUCCAGGUACAUUUCUAGACCCGUUUGAGGACGAACGUUUGUUUAAGAGGGGGAGGAUGUAACGACCCGGCCGGUCAUUUUGACUGUUGUAGCCUCAUUCCCCUAUUUAAUGCUCAUUUCACGCUUAUUAGUUGCUAUGUGGCUUGCCGGGGUAGUUGGUUCAAUUCCAGGGAUAUUUCGGAAUGUGGUGAGACAAUUAGUCUGAAGGGUUGAAAGCUUAAGUUGAAAAGAUUGACCGGAUGUAAAUUAUAUGUAAAUAGCUUCGAAAUGGAGUUUUGAUUGUUCUGUUAGCUCCGUUGGAGGAUUUUGGACAUAAGAGCAUGUCCGAAUAGUGAUUUGGAGGUCCAUAGUUGAAUUAGGCUUGAAAUGGCAAAAGUUGAAAAAUGAGAAGCUCUCGAAAUUUAGAAGUUUGACCGAGAGUUGACUUUGUAGUUACCGAGCUCGAAUUUUGGUUCCGGGAGUUAGAGUAGGUCUGUGGUGUCAUUUAUGACUUGUGUGAAGAUUUUUUGAGGUCAAUCAGUCUUGAUUUUAUAGAUUUCAGUGUUGAAUGAAGAAGUUGGAAGUUCAUAAGUUCGCCAGGCUUGAAUCGAUGCACGAUUUGUGAUUUUAGUGUUGUUUGAUGUGAUUUGAAGGCUCGACUAAAUUCGUAUCGUGUUUUAGGACUUAUUGGUGUGUUUGGUUGAGCUCCCGAGGGCCUCGGGUGGAUUUCGGAUGGUUAACGGAUCAAUUUUGGACUUUGAAAUUGGCUAGAGUUUUCUGGUGUCUCUGAUCUGGUUUCCUUAUACGCAGUCGCGUGGGCAGGUCCGUGAUCGUGUAGGAUUAAUUGGGCAGUGGAGGACUUUGUUCUAUGCAUUUGCAAGAAGAGGGUUGCGAUCGCGUAGCUUAGAAAAGCAGUGCAUCACGAACGCGUGGGCUAGACAGCCUUCGCAAAGAGGAAAGGAGGCAGUUGGGGUUCACACGCGUUUGCUCUUCGCGAUCGCGUGAAGAGGGAGGUGAUCGCAUGAGUUUGAGGAGCCCGUUCAUCGCGUUCGCAUGGUGUUUUCCACUUUCGCGUAGGGUGAAAUUGAGGGCAAUAUAAUUUGUGCUUCACGAUCACGAAGCAAUUUCCGCGAUGGCGAUUAAGGACUUCUAGGCAGAAUAUUUAAUCUAAAAAAUGAAGGUUUGAGUUUAUUUCACAAUUUGAUUUUGGGAGCUCGGUGGGAGGGGAUUCAUGGAGUGAUUUUCAAGAGAGUGAUUGGGGUAAGUAAUUCUCACUUAGUUUUGGUCAAAUUCCAUGUUUAUAUCUUUGAUUUCAUCAUUUAAUUACUGAUUUGGGUUGAAAAAUAGAGGGAAAUGGAGGAAAGUUUUUAGGCCAAAUUUUGGGGAUUUGGUCGGGAUUUUUGUAUCCGAUUUGAGUAAUUUUGGUAUGGGUGGACUCGUGGUUGAUUGAGUAUUCGGAUUUUGUGACUUUUAUCGAAUUCUGAGACGUGGGCCCGACAGUUGACUUUUGAGUUGACUUUUUGACUUUUGAUUUGACUUUUUGACUUUUGAUUAAGAACUUAGAAUUUUUAUAUGGAAUUGAUUAAAAUAGCUUAAGUUGAUCGUAUCGAUUUGUUUGUGGCUAUCUUCGAGGCAUUAAGAGGCCGUUUCGCGAGGCAAGGGCUUGUUGGAGUAGAAUUUUGCACAGUUUGAGGUAAGUAAAACUUCUAAACUAGGUUCUGAGGGUACGAAAUCCCGAAUUUAUGUGUUAUGUGAUUUGUAUUGAGUUGACACACAUAUUAAGUGACAAGUGUGUGGGCGUGCACUGUAAGAGUUGUGACUUGGUUGAUUCCAUGAAACUGUAUAGUUGAAUAAUCUUGUUGUUACCCGUAUUGUCACCAUGUGUUAGAGUAGUUGAGCUGCCAGUCAUGUUAGAAAUCCUGCUUAGGCUCCAUGUUGGUACUGUUGGAACCAACAGAGGUCGUGUUACAUGUUGAAUUAUUUGCUUAAUUUGUGAAAUUGUACUCAAUCAAAGCUAUUAUUUGCAUAAUAUUUCUCAGUCUCUAUUGUCCUUUAUUUGAUACAUCAUAUCAUCAUUGUUUAGGCUUAUUAUCAUUAUUCUGGUGAGCCCGAGAGACUGGAGAGAUUAAUGACUGAGUGAGAAUAAGGGUCUAUUAUGAAUGAUAUUCAUUGGAUCGGGCUCCAUGCCACAGUAGGCUUUAUUAAUUCAUGCCAAGAUUUAGCUUAUUAUACUGCUUGGGCUGGAUCGACCCCUCCGGAGUCAGCACAUCCAUAGUGGGUGCAAUGCUAGCAGUUAUUUACAUUUGGGCUGGAUCUGCCCUGUUCUGUGUUGAGUUUUAUUGCAAAACCUGAAAGCAUGUCUAAAUUCUUGUACCUUUACUUGUAGAUUAUAAAUUUCUGAGAUAUCACUAUCAUAUUUGUUGUAACUUUCCAUAUUGUUAAUACUGUAUGUAGACUGUAUUACUCAAACUCAUCACUACGUUUAGUCCAAAGGUUAGAUUUGUUACUUAUUGAGUUAGUUGUACUCACGCUACACCUUGUACCUCUUGUGCAGAUCCAGGUUUUUUCCGGUCAUGGGGAUUGCUGAUUCACAUAGUUUAGACAUUCGGAGAUCGUCGAGGUAGCUGCUUAGCAUCUGCAGACCUUGACUCUCCUCUCUUAUCUUUCAGUUAUUUAUUAUGUUCUACUUUCUAGAUAGUGUACCAGACUAUGUCAUUAUGUAGAUGCUCAUGUACUUAGUGACACCUCGAUUUUGGGAAAACUUAUGUAUUGAGUUAUGGUAUACUAUCAUAUUUUAUGAGAUUUUUAUUUAUUUAAACUGUUUUAGUAUAUUUCAAAGAUUAAAAGUGUUGAAAAUGUCUAAGUAGUCAUCUUGCCUAGUAUCAUGAUAGGCGCCAUCAUGACAGGUUGGGUUUUGGGCUGUGAGAGGGGAGAGUGUGUCUCUACUGCAGCCUGAAUAGGUUGCCUAUUAUUUUACUACAAGGCAAAUCUCCCUUUGAGAAGUUCUUUCAAAGGAAUCCAUCUGUGCAACAUCUGAGGUUAUUUGGAAGUCUUUGUUAUGCUACUCAGGUGAAGAAAGGAGAUAAAUUAUGUCCUAGAGCAAUCUCAGCUGUGCACAUAUGCUAUUCAUCCACCUAGAAGGGCUAUGUCCUCUAUGACUUGUACUUUAAAAGAUUUUUUGUAUACAGGGACACUGUCUUCAAGGAAGAAGUGUUCCAAUUCAAGCAUACGUCUUCUGGUGCAUCUCCUUUAUUUUCUGUCCUGGAGUUUGUAGAGCAAUAAAUUCAAUCAGUUGGUAUUCCUAGUGAUGCUUCCUUACCUGCAGUAUCUCCAAGUCCAAACAAUGCUGAUAUUGCUGACACUACUUCAGCUCCUCUCACUCCUGGUUAGUCUCAUCUAUCCAUACCUGUAUCUCCUCCUCCAUCAGCCUAUGAACCAUCUACCCUUUCUAUGACACUCAGGAAGUCUUCUAGACUUACUAAACCACCUAUGUGGUUAGCAGACUAAGUGGUUCCACCAAAGAAGUAAGCUUGCCUUUAUCCUAUAACCAACCACGUGUCCUAUGAUCACUUAUCUCCUGGCUACAGAUCCUCUCUGGUUGCAUUCUCAGCCAUUGUGAAACCUAGGUCCUUCGAAGAAGCCAGUCAAUACCCUAAGUGGGUUGAGGCUAUGUAGGCUGAGAUCACUACUUUUGAAGAAAACAACACUUGGUCCAUUGUCUCCCUUCCCCUUGGGAAGGUUCCUAUAGGCUACUAUUGGGUGUUUAAAGUCAAAUACAAGUCUUCUGGUGAGGUGGAAAGGUAUAAAGCCAGGUUGGUGUCUAAAGGUUGCAGCCAACAGGAAGGAUUGGAUUAUAAAAAAACUUUCUCUCUAGUAGCUAAAAUGGUCACUAUGAGAGCCAUAGUUGCCUUAGCUGCUGCUUCUAGUUGGUAUGUGUUUUAGAUGGAUGUUCAAAAUGCUUUUCUUCAAGGAGAUCCUCUAGAGGAAGUGUACAUGCAUAUUCCUGAUGGCUUUUUAAGCCAAGGAGAGUGUCAGCAAGUGUGCAAACUGCAUAAGUCACUGUAUGAAUUAAAAUAGGCUCCUAGGCAAUGGAAUCUGAAGUUAACUUAAGCAUUGGUGGAUAUGGGCUUUGUUCAAUCUCACUAUGAUUAUUCUCUUUUUACACAAAAAAUAGACUCAUAAGUAGUUCUCAUCCUAGUCUAUGUGGAUGAUCUCCUAGUAAUUAGAAGCAGUCUAGCCUUGAUCAAACAAGUCAAAAAAAGUUUGCAAGAGAGAUUUAAGAUGAAAGACCUUGCGAACUCAAAUACUUCCUUGGUAUUGAGUUUUCUAGACCCCAGGAAGGUAUAUUUAUGUGUCAAAGGAAAUAUGCUUUAGAACUAGUGUCAGAGCUAGGCCUAGUAGGUGGAAAGCCAGCAGCUACACCUUUAGAAUUCAAUCAUAAGCUCACAUCCAUUGAAUUUGGCAGGAAGAUGCCAAAUGAUAAUACUACAGUAGAUAAGGAACUUGAAGACAAAUGAGGCUAUCAGAGGCUAGUUGGCAGGUUGUUGUACUUGACCAUGACAAGGCCUGACAUUGCCUUUGGGGUUCAAGUACUCAGUCAGUACAUGCAUGCACCUAAGUUGUCUCACAUGGAGGCUGCCAUAAGAGUAGUAAGGUACAUCAAGACUGCACCUAGCCUUGGUUGUUCAUGCCUGCUAAGGCAUGCAAGCAGUUAGUUGCAUAUUGUGAUUCUGAUUGGGGAGCUUGUGUGGAGACUAGGAGAUCAAUGAUAGACUAUGCAGUAAAAUUUGGUGAAGCGUUGAUAUCUUGGAAAUCCAAAAAUAGGGAACUGUGUCUAAAAAACUCUGUGGAAGCUGAAUUUCAAAGUAUGGCUUCUACGGUAGCAGAGGUGGUGUGGCUAACAGGACUCUUCAAGGAAUUGGGGACUGAUCUAGUGCAACCUAUACAACCUCAUUGGGACAAUAAAACUGCUAUACAAAUUUUCGCUCAUCCUAUCUUUCAUGAAAAAACCAAAUACAUCGAUAUUGAUUGCCAUUUUGUGAGGGAAAAGAUUGUACAAGGCUUAAUUCAAACACGACAUAUCAGAACAACAGGAAACUAGCAGAUCUGAUAACUAAGGGUCUUUGCAAGCCACAACAUGAAUAUCUAUUAGGCAAGCUGGGUAUGAAAGAUUUAUUUCAUCCCUCAGCUUGAGGGGAAGUGUUGAGUAUAGUGGAUCCCAACUAUUUAUGUAUUAACUAUAGUUAGUUGUAACGACGUAGAGUUAGUUAGUUGUACAAAUAUUAAUAGAGUAGUUUACUAGCUUUUGUACUACUAUUCAUUUUCUUCAUGGAAGGUCAAUAAUAGAAUGAGCUUCCUUUCAGUCUUCCUCUCAUUCUCGCACCUUCUAGAACUUACAAUUCUGUCAUAGGUGAAGCUUCUCAACAGUAAACAAUAUUAAUAGAGAUUACAUGUAUUGAUAAAUUAAUGAAAAACACACUUCUUAUUUAUGAUUUCGUAGGUUUGGGGGGGGGGGGGGGAAAGAAAACAUGACAAUUAAAAAUGGACGAACGGAAUAUAUUUUCUUUCAAUGGUGGAAAAUCCAUAGAGUUCAUAUUCAAAACAAUAAACAAUAGGCAUGAAAUAUAGAUUGUGUUAGAAUUUUAAUUUCUCUCUGCUUAAAUGAUCCUUGAGUAUUUAAACAAUUGAAGUGGAUUAGUUAAUUUCAUUUUGUGUUUUCCAAACGUUCUACUGAAAUUUAAAAUACAACAUACAAUUAUUUUACUUCUGUAAAGAAAUUAAAGUCUGUGCAUAUCAAUGAGUAUUAACUACUCCAUCUUACAAGACCUAAACAUCGCUUCCUGUUUAAUUAUUUCUUUUUCUUUUUUCUAGAUAAUCUGGUGAAUAGUAAUACAGCUAGCAAAUCAUGGCUUAUUUAAUUAGCACAUGAUAUUAUUAAUAUUUGUAGGAGUGUAACACAUGUUAUUGCAAUAUAUAAUAGAUUCCUUUUCCCCCGUUUUGUACCAAUUAAUCUCUUGAUAAGUACAAAAUUAGUCACCUUUGCAUUCCACAAAAGUCAACGGCAUUGCGCAUGUUCCAUAUUCGCCAAGAAGCAACCAAAAUAAUAACUUAAGAUCCUUGAUGUUUGGCUCUGAAACAGUAAUCCAUAAAUAGAGACAUAAGGGCUAAUAAACUUUAUUUACAAUUAUACCACUGACAUUCAGGAACUACUUGUAAACUGAAGCAGAGCCAGAAUUUAUUUAUGGCGAUUGUUACAGUGUAUCUUGCUUCAUCUUCAAUGACAAAAGCAAUGGCCAUGCGAAACCAGUUGGUUCAUGACAUUAAAGGCUUUGAAAGGAAACUAGUCUCUCAUCCAAAUUAUUUGACUUGCUGGAGAGUAUGCACUUCUGACUAUGACUGCUCUGAUGCUUGGAUUUGUAAGCAUUGCACCUGGGAUGGUAUUUUUGACAAGCUCAUGUGUUCUAGCUAAUUUACUGUUCAACUGCUUCAGAAUAAAUUCAGCAGAUGGUUGUACGUAGCUUUGAUUAUCUUCCCUUUCCCUGUUCUCGUUGUUUUUAAUUAGAUAUGCUGUUUUGAAUAAUAUUGGAUCCAAUUCCAAUGUCUUGCAAUAACUAUAGCCUAUCCUUGUCACUAACGAACUGCGUACUACUAUAUAUCUUCUUUCUGAAUUUCUUAAUUAUCAACCUCUUUUAUGCUCAUAAUUUUACUUUUAAGCAAUAUUGCAGGUUCAGCUAAAGCGACUAAUAAUUAUGGCUUAAAAUAUAGACAAAUAACCUUUCAUAACAACACUGUUACGGUCGAGCUAAUAAUAUGCAGAGAACGAACAAAUUCAUUGUAUAUAGAUACCCCAAAAAAAAAAGUAACAAGGUAUACUUUCCUCUUGAAUGCCUAAGAAGUGAUGCUUUUAAGAAUAAACAGACAAGGCAAGUGUUUAACUCAAAAAAUAGUUUUAUAGUCAAACCAAUUAAUUUUAUAUUUCAGGGCAUUAAUAAUCAAUUUAAUUUAAUUUUUCAAAUAUAAACAAUAUAAAAAAGAAUAAUAUUUGAGCAAAAUAAUUCAGAGAUAAAAGGAAAGAGAAAUCUUAUUAUGGAGACUUUACGGAAUAGUUAACAUGUACAAGUUGGUUCAGACACUAAUGUGAUGAACCAAAAGGUCAUCACUUGCGUUGCAAGUGAAUUCAGUGUUCCGAGGCCUAAAAACCUCCUUUUUACCUCACCUUAAUUUACGUUUGUGGUCCGGACCUAUAUCCGGAAAGCCUUCUAUACGAUGAGAAAUAGAAAUUUCUAGAGUUAAAAAUUUGAUUAUGGUUGAUAUUGGUUAACGUUUUGAGCAAACGGACCCGGAUCCGUGUUCCGACGAUCCCGGAAGGUCCUCUUUAAAAUUUGGGACUUGGGCGUAUGUCCGAAAAUGAAUUUCGAGGUCCCAAGCCUUAGAAAUUAAUUUUUGAAAGAAAUUAUUUUACUGAAUUAUCUAAAAAAAUGAAGAAAAGAAUUAAUGUUUGAAACUAUUGUUCAGGCCCGUAUUUUGGUUCCGGAGCCCAGUACAAACUUGUUAUAGUAUUUGAAAGACAACUGCGAAAUUUGGUGAAAAACGGAGUUUAUUUGAUGUGAGUUGGACUUCCGGUUGAGGAGUUAUGAACUUUGCGAGUUCUUGAUGAAAAUGUUGAGUUUUGAGGUUUAAUUCAUGAUUUUACAUGUUAUUUUGAUGAUGUGAUUGCACGAGUAGGUCCAUAUGAUGUCUUUGAGUUAGCAUGCACACUUGGUUUGGAGUUCCGAGGGCUCGGGUGAGUUUCGAGUAGAUUCCGGGAUGUCUUAGCCUUAAAACAUGGAUAUUGCAGGUUCAGAGAAGUGCAAAUCUCUGAACCCACCAGUGCCGACCGUACUGGUUUUGGUGCUGUCCGCGGUGGGGGCUGUGCGUCCGCACUCGAUUUUGUGCGGUCCGCACAGGUUCACUUGUCCGACUUCGGAAGCCUAUGUCGUUUGAUCUACUAGGUAUUUUGAGAUGAUUCAAAAACUAAAGUUGUAGCCCUUCGUGUCUAGUUUCCAGAAAGGUAAGGAAAUCACAAUUUGGACAUCUGUAGAGAAAGUUAUGGCCAAAAUACUAAAGCAUGUCACUGCAGUCCACAUGGAGAGCUGUGCGGCCGCACUCGAUUUUGUGCGGUCCACAUAGGAGGUCUGAGAGGGGUAUAUUAAAACGGGAUUUUCAGUUAUUUUUCAUUUUUCAAAACCCUAAAGACAUAAGAGACGAUUUUUCAAACAACCUUUCUUCUCUAAAACAUUGGUAAGUGAUUUCUAACUCAUUUUCUUUAAUUCUUAACUUCUUUUUACAAGAUUUCAUCCUAGAAUCUAGGGUUUUCAUGGUGGAAUUGGGGACUUUGGGAAAAACCUAAGAAUAUUGAAAUUUAGAUAUUUAUACCUCAAAUUGAGGUCGGAUUCCAAAAUAAAUUAUAUAUUUGGGUUCGUGGGGGAAUAGGUAAUCAGGUUUUGGUUUGAACCUCGGAUUUUGACCAUGUGGGCGCGGGGGCGAUUUUUGACUUUUUGGGUAAAACUUUAAAAAACUCAUUUUUAUGCAUUGGGUUGAUUCAUUUAGUGUUUAUUGAUGUAAUUAAGUAACUUGUGACUAGAUACGAGCGAAUUGGUAGUGGAAUCAAUGGGUAAAGCUAUAAUUGAAAUGUGAAUUGUGUUCGUGGCAUCGAGGUAAGUGUUUAGUCUAACCUUAGCUUGAGGGAUUAGGAGUUGUGUCUAUUUGCUACGUGUUAAUUGUGGAGUACGACGCAUAGGCAUGGUGACGAGUAUUAUAUGUCAGUGUCAAGCAUGCCCGUGAGUCUUGUAUUGUAAUUGUUAUAACUCCAUUGUAAAUUAUUGUACUUCACAUGUUAUUGAAAUAUUAUUGUUCCCUUGUCGGGAUGUUAUUGAAAUAUUAUUGUUCUCUUGCCGGGAUACUUUUAUAUUUCUCUUGUUCCCUUGCCGGGAUGUUGUUAUAUUGCUCUUGUUCCCUUGCCAAGAUUCUUUGUGAUUGUUGUUGAUUUGUAACUGGGAUCGGGUGACACGCCUGCCACAAGAUAAAUAAAAUGGGAGCGGGUGUCACGCCUGCCACGAGAUAAAUGAAAUGGGAGCGGGUGGCACGCCUGCCAUGAGAUAAAUGAAAUGGGUGCGGGUGGCACGCCUGUCACGAGAUAAAUGAAAUGGGAACGGGUGGCACGCCUGCCACGAGAUACAUGAAAUGGGAGCGGGUUGCACACCUGCCGUGAGAUAUAUGAAAUGGGAAUGGGUUGCACGCCUGCAACGAGAUACGUGAAAUGGGAGCGGGUUGCACACCUGCAACAUGAUGUGAAAUGAAAGUGAAUUCUACCUUUGUUUCCCUUAUCCUUGUUAGUAGUUGGAUUUUGGUUCCUUUAUAAUUCUCUUGAUAUUCUGUUUUUACCUGUUAUUCCCCAAAGCAUGCUUUCCCCCUCCCAUCAUUACUUUUUUAUUCCUGUUUUACUUUUCGAUGUAUAUUAUAUAACUACACAGGUUUAUUUGGUAGUCUGGUCCUAGCCUCGUCACUACUUCGCCGAGGUUAGGCUAGGCACUUACCAACACAUGGGGUCGGUUGUGCUGAUACUACACUCUGCACUAUGUGCAGAUCCCGGAGCAGCUCUUCGACCGUAGUUUGGAGGCUACCUUCAGUCCACGUGGAGAUCCAAGGUAGACCUUCAAGCGUCUGCAGGCCCUAGCGUCUCCUCUAUCCUUUAUUUCUUGUUUCAUCUCUUUGCUUCAGAAACAGUGUGCCUUUUAUUUUCAAACCUUGUAUUUAGUAGUCUUAGACCGUCUGUGGUACUGUAACACCAGUUCUGGGUGAUUAAGGCUUAAGCUGUUGUAAUAGACACAUGUGCAGAUAUUUUGUUGCUUUCUUCCGCUUAUUCUAAAUUUCCGUUGUUUACAUGCUAUUAUUUUAUAUAAUGUUAAAGAGAAUAAAAAUUGGUAAAAGGGUAAUUUGUAAUUGGCUUGUCUAGCUCACAUUAGUAGGCGUCAUCACGACUCCGAGGGUGGGAAAUUCGGGUCGUGACAAGCUGGUAUCAGAGCUCUAGGUUACAUGAGUCUCACAGUUCACAGACAAGCUUCGUAGAGUCUAAAGGAUCGGUACAGAGACGUCUGUAUUUAUCCCCCAGAGGCUACAGAGUUAGGAAAAUUUCACAUCUAUUCUUUCUUGUCGUGCGUUUUGGUUUCUCAAUGUUAAUUGAAUUUAUACUCUGUUCUUUCGCAGAUGACGAGAAUACGCGCUUCCUCAUCCACUAACUAGCAGCCCGAGCCCCCAGCAGUAGCUCCCAUGAGGGGCAGAGGGCGAGGCCGAGCUAGAGGCCGAGGUAGGGUCCGAGCUCAGCCCAUAGCAGCAGCACCAACAGCGAAGCCUCGGAUUGAUUUUGAUGAUGAGGUUCCGGCUCCAGCAAUUUCGGUGGCCCAGCUCAGGUCCUAGAGGGGUUUAUUGCUACCCCAGUACUUUAGGAUGCUAUGGUCCGUCUAGUGGGCCUUACGGAGAGUGUCACUCGGGCAAGCUUGCUUCCUGUAGCUCCAGUCGUCUCUCAGGCUGGAGGAGGAGCCCAGACUCCUGCUACUCGCACUCCGGAGCAGGUAGCUCCCCAGUUCCGGACUCCAGCAGUUCAGCCAGUUGGAGCAGUUCAGCUCGGUGUGGUGGCUCAGACCAGUGAUGGAGCAGCUAUGUCUGCUGAUGCCCUGUAGAGGUUGGAUAGGUUCACCAAGCUCUUCACUACUACUUUCAGCGGUGCAUCUUCUGAGGAUCCCCAAGAUUAUCUAGACAACUGUCUUGAGGUUCUCAGGAACAUGGGGAUAGUUGAGACCAAUAGGAUCGAUUUUGCUACUUUUCGCUUAUCCGGAUCCGCCAAGACCUUGUGGAGAGAUUAAUGUUUGGCUAGACCAGCCGGAUCGCCAGCUUUGACUUGGGAGCAGUUUACUCAGCUAUUUCUGGAAAAGUUUCUCCCUAUCACUCAGAGAGAGGCCUAUCGGAGGCAGUUUGAGCGUCUCCAGCAGGGUUCUAUGACUGUUACCCAGUAUGAGACCAGAUUCAUCGACUUGGCUUGUCAUGCUCUUAUCAUACUUCCCACCGAGAGAGAGAGAGAGGGUGAGGAGGUUCAUUGAUGGACUUAUUUAGUCGAUUCGUCUUCAGAUGGAUAGGGAUACUGGGAGUAAGAUAUCUUUUCAAGAGGUGGCCAAUGUGGCCUGGAGAGUUGAGAUGGUUCUAUCGCAGGGAGGUGGCCAGGGGUUUGACAAGAGGCCUCAUCAUUCAGGCCGAUUCAGUGGUACCUCGUCUGGAGGUAGGGAUUCAUAUGGUAGAGGCCAUCCUCCUAGGCCUUUUUAGUCAGCACUUCAGGUUUCUCAUGUUGCUUCAGGUGGUCGUGGUUCUUAGAUGCAGUAUUCUGAUAAGCAGUCCUAUAGUGCACCACCAGCUCCUAUCAGUGCACCACUACUUCAGAGUUUCCCGGGUCGUCAGCCCCAGCAGCCGAGGCCUAGUUUUACUUGUUGCGACACGAGGUACAUUGCUAGGUAUUGCCCUCGAGCAUCGAGCAACUCUCAGCAUCAGGGUUCUCGUGCCAUGGUUCAGGCACCGAGUGUUCCACAGCCCGCCCAGCCAGCUAGAUGUGGGGGUAGAGGUGCUAGAGGUGGAGGUAGAGGUAUUAGAGGUGGAGCUCAGGCCGCUAGAGGUGGAGGCCAGCCAGCAGCAGGCCAUCCCAGAGAUGUAAUUCAAGGUGGUGGGGCCCAGCCCCGAUGUUAUGCUCUUCCAGCCAGGCCCGAGGCUGAGGCUUCUGAUACAGUUAUCACUGGUACGGUUCUGGUUUUUAGUAGGGAUGCAUCAGUGUUAUUUGAUCCAGUGUCUACAUACUCAUAUGUGUCAUCUUAUUUUGCACCGUAUCUGGUCAUGCCUAGUGAUUUUUUGAGUGCUCCUAUUUAUGUGUCUACACCGGUGGAUGAUUCUAUUAUGGUAGAUUGAGUCCAUCGUUCAUGUAUAGUUGUGAUUGGAGGUCUUGAAACUCGUGUAGAUUUGCUUCCUCUAGAAAUGGUCGAUUUCGACGUCAUAUUAGGGAUGGACUGGUUAUCACCUUACCACGCUAUCUUGGACUGUCAUCCAAGACUGUGACCUUAGCCUUGCCAGGUUUACCUUGUUUAGAGUAGAGAGGGACUCCUGGUCAUUCUACCCGCAAUGUUAUCUCGUAUAUUAAGGCUCGUCGUAUGGUCUAGAAGGGGUGAUUGGCCUAUUUGGCCUAUGUUCGUGAUUAUAGUGCUGAGGUUCCUUCUAUUGAUUUUGUGCCCGUUGUUCGUGAGUUUCCUGAGGUAUUCCCUUCAGACCUGCCGGGUAGGCCACCCGACAGGGAUAUUGAUUUCUGCAUUGAUUUGGCUCCGGGCACUCAGCCUAUUUCUAUCCCGCCGUAUCGUAUGGCCCUGCCUGAGUUGAAAGAGUUGAAGGAGUAGUUGCAAUACUUGCUUAAGAAGGGUUUCAUUAGACCUAGUGUUUCACCUUGGGGUGCACCGGUGUUGUUUGUUAAGAAGAAUGAUGGAUCGAUGAGACUGUGUAUUGCUUUGUUUGAUCAGCUUCAGGGUGCCAAGGUAUUUUCAAAGAUUGACUUGAGAUCGGGCUACCAUCAGUUGAGGAUUAGGGCAUCCGAUGUCCCUAAGACAGCUUUCCGCACUCGGUACGAGCAUUAUGAGUUCUUGGUGAUGUCAUUCGGGUUGACAAAUGCCCCAUCAACUUUUAUGGAUUUGAUGAACCGAGUGUUCAGGACUUACUUGGAUUCGUUCGUGUUAGUCUUCAUUGAUGAUAUUUUGAUAUAUUCCCGCAGCUGGGAGGAGCACGAGCAACAUCUUAGAGUGGUUCUUCAGACCUUGAGGGAUAGUUAGUUAUAUGCUAAGUUCUCGAAGUGUGAGUUCUGGUUGAGCUCAGUUGCAUUCCUGGGUCAUGUUGUAUCAAUAGAGGGUAUUCAGGUUGAUCCGAAGAAGAUUGAGGCAGUCAAGAACUGGUCUAGACCAGCAUCAGCUACAAAGAUUCAAAGUUUCUUAGGGUUGGCAGGCUACCAUCGUCGGUUCGUGGGGCGGUUUCAUUUAUCGCAGCCCCGAUUACCAGGUUGACCCAAAAGGGUUCCUAGUACAAAUGGUCGGAUGAGUGUGAGGCGAGCUUUUAGAAGCUCAAGACAGCGUUGACUACGACAUCGGUGUUGGUGUUGCCCAUAGGUUCAGGGCCAUAUACAGUUUAUUGUGAUGCAUCUCGUAUUGGGCUUGGUGCGGUGUUGAUGCGGGAUCACAAGGUCAUUGCCUAUGCUUCACGGCAAUUGAAGAUUCAUGAGAAGAAUUAUCCGGUUCAUGAUUUGGAGUUGGCAGCCAUUGUUCACGUUGAAGAUUUUGAGGCAUUAUCUGUAUGGCGUGGCAUGUGAGGUGUUCACGGAUCAUAAGAGUCUGCAGUACUUGUUCAAGCAGAAGGAGUUGAAUUUGAGGCAGAGAAGGUGGUUAGAGCUGUUAAAGGAUUAUGAUAUCACCAUCUUAUAUCAUCCGGGAAAGGCCAAUGUGGUGGCUGAUGCUUUGAGUAGGAAGUCAGCCAGUAUGGGCAGUCUUGCUUAUAUUCCGGUCGGUGAGAGACCGCUUGCUUUGGAUGUUCAGGCUUUGGCUAAUUAGUUCGUGAGGUUAGAUGUUUCUGAGACCAGCCGUGUGUUAGCUUGCACAGUCGCUCAUUCUUCAUUAUUGGAGCGUAUCCGUGAUCGGCAGUAUGAUGAUCCCCAUUUGUGUGUCCUUAGAGACACGGUGCAACACGGAGGUGCCAAGUAGGUUACCUUAGGGGAUGAUGGAGUUUUGAGGUUGAAGGGUCGAGUUUGUGUGCCUAAUGUGGAUGGGCUCCGAGAGUUGAUUUUAGAGGAGGCCCAUAGCUCCCGGUACUCUAUUCAUCCGGGUGCCGCAAAGAUGUAUCAGGAUUUGCGGUAGCAUUAUUGGUGGCGGAGAAUGAAGAAGGAUAUCGUAGCAUUUGUGGCUCGGUGUUUGAAUUGUCAGCAGGUUAAGUAUGAGCAUCAGAGGCCUAGUGGUUUGUUCUAGAAGAUUGAGAUUCCUAAGUGUAAGUGGGAGCGGAUCACUAUGGAUUUCGUUGUUGGGCUCCCACGGACUCAGAGGAAGUUCGAUACAGUGUGGGUUAUUGUUGAUAGACUGACCAAGUCAGCACAUUUCAUUCCUGUGGCAGUCUCAUAUUCUUCCGAGAGGUUAGCUAAGAUAUAUAUCCGGGAGAUUGUUCGUCUUCAUGGUGUGCCCGAGUCUAUCAUUUCGGACCGAGGUACGCAGUUUACCUCACAUUUUUGGAUAGCAGUUCAGCGAGAGUUGGGCACAUGGGUUGAGUUGAGCACAACAUUUCAUCCUUAAAUGGACAGGCAGUCCGAGCGGACCAUUCAAAUUUUGGAGGAUAUGCUCCAAGCUUGUGUCAUUGACUUUGGAGGCUCGUGGGAUCAGUUUUUGCCUUUAGUAGAGUUUGCCUACAACAACAACUACCAGUCGAGUAUUCAGAUAGCUCCUUAUGAGGCUUUAUAUGGUAGGCGGUGUCGAUAUCCGGUUAGAUGGUUUGAGCCGGGAGAGGCUCGGUUGUUGGGUACAUAACUAGUGCAGGAUGCUGAGAACAAGGUUAGGAUCAUUCAGGAUAGGCUUCGUACAGCUCAGUCCAGGCAAAAGAGUUAUGCCGACCGCAAGGUUCGUGAUUUGGCAUUCAUAGUCGGUGAGCGGGUAUUGCUUCAAGUGUCGCCUAUGAAGGGCGUGAUGAGAUUUGGGAAGAAGGUCAACCUUAUCCCUAGGUUCAUUGGCUCGUUUGAGAUUCUUGAUCGAGUGGGAGAGGUGGCUUACAGACUUGCGUUGCCGCCGAGCUUAUCAGCCGUGCAUCUAGUGUUUCAUGUGUCCAUGCUUUGGAAGUAUCACGGCUAUCCAUCCCAUGUGUUAUAUUUUAGCACUGUCCAGUUGGACAAGGACUUUGUCAUGUGAGGAGGAGCCGGUAGCUAUUCUAGACUGGCAAGUUCGUCAGUUGAGGUCGAAGAAUUUCCCUUAUGUUCGUGUUCAGUGGAGAGGUCAGCCUGUUGAGGCAUCGACUUGGGAGUCCAAGUCCGAUAUGCGGAGCCAUUAUCCAUAUCUUUUUCCCGACUCAGGUACUUCUUUCUUAUGUCCGUUCGAGGACGAACGGUUGUUUUAGAGGUGGAGCAUGUGAUGACCCAAAAGGCCAUCACUUGUGUUGCAAGUGAAUUCAGUAUUCCAAGGCUUAAAACCCUCCUUUUUACCUCACCUUGAUAUAUGCGCGUGGUCUGGACCUAUAUCUAGAGAGCCUUCUAUGCGAAAAUAUGAGAAAAAGAAAUUUCUAGAGUUAAAAAUUUGAUAAUGGUUGACUUUGGUCAACAUUUUGAGCAAAUGGACCCGGAUCCGUGUUCCGAUGAUCCCGGGAGGUCCACAGUAAAAUAUGGGACUUGCGCCCGGAAAUGAAUUCCGAGGUCCCAAGACUUAGAAAUCAAUUUGAAAAAAAUUAUUUUACUGAAUUAUCUAAGCUGUCACCUUUGGAGAUAAAUCAAAAGGAAAUGUAAUUGGAUUCGGAAGAGUUCCCCUUAGCUCCACAUGUGAUGUAGACGAAGUGUACCUGUUGAUGAACUUGGUUAUAAUCUUCUCAGUAUCAGUCAACUAUGUGAUAAUGACUAUGAGGUUCGUUUCAAAAAACAUGGUUGGUUCAUUGAAGAUGAAUCAGGUAAAGUUAUUCUCUUUGGAAAUAGGGACAAGAAUGUCUAUACCAUCAGUAACUUAGAUAGUCUUGGUAAUCAAAUCUGUCUAGCUUCUAUGAUUGAUGAUCCUUGGGUAUGGCAUAGAAAACUUGGUCAUGCCAGCAUGCAUAAUAUUCAUACACUUUCCAAAAAUGAUCUUGUCAUUGGUCUUCCAAAAUUGGAUUUUUGCAUUUAUCUCAUCCUCAUCAAAUAUACGUAGAACAAUACCAACCAGAUAAAAGAAAUGCUGAUAAUAGUAACGACAAGUAAAAACAUACAUAAUUAGCAAUAAUGAACAAUGCAAUACAUAUGGACAACAGAAAUGGACUAGGUAGGAGGCAUGACAUUAAUUAGGAAAGAAAAACAUAAUUUCACCUAACUAGCAUGAUAGAAGACAUAGAUGUAGAUAUAAUAAAUAAGAAAGGAAAGCAUGAUCUUUAUAAGCUAACAAAUAGAGGCAUGAAUGACUAACAUGGUAAAAGGCUUAUACUAAAAUGCGACAAAAUAGAAACACCAUGUAUGUGGAUAUAACAGCAGGAAGGAAGGCAUGAUAUGUACAUUUAAACAAAUAAAAGGCAUGAACAGCACAACAACAAUCGAGAUAGAAGACAAAGACUGAACAACAACGACAAGUCACGUAGAUAGCAUAGGUGCAACUGUAAUAACUUCAGGUAAAUGCAUGAUGUACACACAAGGAAAAGAUAUCACAACAUAAGAUAUGUCCCUCGUCCUCACCUGCAUGGAAACACCCUUCAUGCCAUGAACUCAUGAUAAUAUAAAUAAAAUGGUACGGCAUCACCCUUCAUGCUUUUACUCUCAAAUAAAAUAGCACGACAUCACCCUUCGUGCUUUACAUUUUUCUUCACAUGAUAAAAUAUAUGAAAUGGCAUGGCAUCAACCUUCAUGCUUUAUACUCUCCCUCACCAUGAUUUUAUAUAUAUNNNNNNNNNNNNNNNNNNNNNNNNNCUACUACUACUACUACUAUAUAUAUAUAUAUAUAUAUAUAUAUAUAUAUAUAUAUAUAUAUAUAUAUAUAUAUAUAUAUAUAUAUGCAAUGACACGACAUCAUCCUUCGUGUUUUACACUCUUCCUCAUCGAGUAUAUGUAUGUCAAUGACAAGCAAGGUAGGAACUAUAAAUAACAUCAAGGAGAGUGGUCAAACGAAUAUUCCAAAUGAACUUCAAUCACAAUUUCCAAGCCAGCAAUAGUUAAAAAAAACCUUAAGAACCUUACUGUGCAAAUAUUUCAACAAAUCUCAAAAUGAUCUACAACUCAAGUAUAGAAUCUAAUAUCUCAAGAAUAACGGUCGUAACAAUGUAUUGGUGAUUAAGCAUAUUGAUGAUCGAACUAGGCAUAUCAAUAUUUCUCAAAAUUCCAUCAAAUUUUAAUCAAGUUAUAAUAAACUAGAUCUUGGUUUCUAACAUUUAAUUCCAUAUUCUUAGUAAUCUAGAAGUGAAGUAAUACAUGAAACAAGAAGGUCACGUAAUUCUACAAGGCGCAAUUUAUAGUAUAAUUUUUUCCGAGCAUGAUUAAUCCUGGCACACACAUAUAUGUCCGUCACCUCAUAUAUAUAUCACCUCCGCAUGUAGCAAAUAAUGGCAAUAAGUAGGGAAAAACUUUCUCAACAAAGUUAGGUAAGACACUUACCUCAAAUGAGUCAAAUCGAUACCCUAAAAGCGCCAUGCCACUCAAAUCAUCCUCCGAACGGCUCAAAAUUAGUCAAAAGCAACCCAAAAAUAUCAAAUAAGGUAAUAGGAAGCAAACUCAAUCGAUAAAGGCCGAAUCUUUAUACAUUUACUCAAAGUCAACCAAAAAGUCAAACUCGGGCCCGCACCUGAAAAGCCAACCAAACUCAUAAAAUCCGAUAACUCAGUCAAUUACAAGUCCAAUCAUACUAAUUUCACUCAAAUUCGACUAUGAAUCGAUGUUCAAAACUCAAAAAUUCACUUUAGGAAAGUUUAGACAAAAACCUCCAAUUUCUCUUUUGAAAUCAUGAAUCAAAUGCCAAAAAUAAAGAUGAAAUUACGGAAUAUAAUCAAAAUCGAAUAGAAAACACUUAUCCCAAUCCAUGUAAUAAAAAUCGCCUCCAAAAUCAUCCAAAUCCGAGCUCCAUAGCUCAAAAUAUUAUAAAAUGUCCCAAACCUUCGAAAUAGAGUACUUUAUAACAUUGUUCCAGCAAUACUCAUCAUGAUCACGGGAUACCUUUGCGAUCGCGUAGCACAGACGCGACUAUCACCGAAUUACACUUUGCGUUCGUUGUACAGUCCUCACGAACGCGACUCACAGCUGGCUCAGAACUUCGAGAACGCAGCUCCAACUAUGCAAACGCGAUGAAGAAAGCCUCCAGCUCUAGCACUCAGAGCUGUCACACCUCUUCUUUUUUUUCCGCAAGGGAUAUAGAGAGUUUUUUCAAUUAAAGUGACACUAACCGAAAUGAGAUUAUUUAAUUAAUCUCAGAGUCGCCACUUGGAAUAAUUUAUGGUGUCUCAAGUCAUUGAUUUAUUUUAAAAUCUCAAAUCGAGGAAACUGACUCUAUUUUUGGUCCGUGAACACAGAAGACCGGGUAAGAAAUUCCGUUAAUCCGAAAAAAGGUAUUAGGCAUUCCCGGGAUCCGUGGUUUUAGUACGGUCGCUCAACUAUUGAUAAUUGGCCUAAUUAUCUGAUUUAUUACAUGUUUAGAACCUUUUGUGCAUUUUUAACCUUUUAAACCGCUUUUAAUUAUUUAUGAAAUUAUUCCGGGAACAAGUUACGAUGUCGUACACUUGUCGUUUUUGUACACAUUGCAAAUCGCGCCACAUGAAAUGCACCUGCAAUUUACGACAUAUUUAUUUUAUUAUUAUUCGGAGUGGUAGUCGGGUCACAUGAAUUGCACACCCGAAAUGGAAAUUGGGUAUCGUAACCAUGCCACGAGAACCAUCACAUAGCCACGUUAAUUUAUUAUUAAUCGCGCCUAAAGCAAACCACGAUGUUCAUGAGUGAUUAUUUUCCUAAGGUUCGAAUUAUCGAAAUUAUUAUGGGAGAAAUGGUAUGAAUGAUAAGUAUGAAAGACAUGAAAAUGGGCUAGCAAUAUGUAUAUUACUCAGAGCCUUGGCGACGUCAAAUCCGAUAUCAUGUAAAGCCCAACUUCUUUCGAUUGUGAUUAACCCCACCACUCACCAAAAAUUAGCAAAGAUCAUACUGCCACACUUCCUUAACAUUUCAAAUAUGCUCAAACUAAAUUCUAUCUAAAUAAAGCAAACUCAAGCAAUGGAUAAUACUAAACAAAUGCAGUUGUAAAUGUUAUAAAUGAAUUAAAAAUAGCCAUGAUCUAAUCUCCAUAACACCAGACAAAGAUAAAUUCUCAUUUUAGCAUGGAGUAAAUUAAACUAGAUAAAUAUUAUUUACACACCAAUAAGAAAUAAGAUCUGAAAUAAAAUAACAAAGUUAGAAUGUGACCUUAAGCAAAACAACUCGUCUUCUAAUUUAAGAGAAAAUUUUGAGUAUUGCAUAUGUGCACAAGCUAUGGUUGACCAAGAAUAGGAACAAAAUCUGAAACAUGGACUGCGAACCGAGCAAAGCAACUUGCUGGUGAUCUCGACUUAACCGGAAAACUACUCUAGCGGCAUCGAAAAGAACCUCGUCUCAGUAGGAUGAAAGCUUUUUUCUAUACUAGUUGAGUUGCUACGUUUUGCAGUUUUUAUUUAUUUAUUUGGGCAGCAAUUUCAUGGUUUAUGCUGGCAUCACACAACGGAUUUUGGGGGGCUUUGAUGCCGAAUUUCAGUGAUAGAGGGGUAUUUUGGGGAGGUGCCAUUUUUCUCUUUCUUUGGUGGGGUGUGUCGGCUAUGAAAUUUUGAAAAGGGGGAACUUUUUGUGGCUGAAGGUUUUGAGCAGAAGGUGGGUGAAACCUUAGCUCUUUUGGAAAUCUCGUUCUCUGCCUUUUGCUUUUCUUUUUCUCCGUCUCUUCUUUGGGGGUGCUCUUGACUGUUUUUU